GAUCAGUGGUUGAGCCAUGAAAUUAAUUUGGAGGGGGCCAACAUUUAAGAAUAUUUGACCCCCUCGGGACUCAGGUGGCUUUGCCGCUGUGUUGAAAAUACGGUGCUCAAGCACCCAACUUCAACUGAAAGUCUGUCUCUAAUUUGUCCUUUCUAUUAUCUCCAAAUGUGGUUCUUUUAGGAAUAUCUUCUGCUGUGAAAAGGUCAAAGAUGACUUCAGUAUGACUAGGGUUUAUAUGUAUUAACAUUCUUUUCAAGAUCAAAAUGAAAGCAUUAUGGAAGUUGCUUCCAAAUUCAAUUCUGGAUUAAUAUCCUUUGUAUAAGUAGUUUAUGACUUGGUGUGCAGUCUUUCUUCAAUUAAUUCUAUGUGAUUUUUUUUCAAUUGACAAUGACUGUACAUCAGCUGUUUGAAAUUCAAGAAGGUUAUAGACAUGAAGAAAAUAUUUUGGGAUGAGAAACUUGGGAUUAAAACAUCUAAUAUAUAUCAAAUGCGAGAUACUAAUGUUUUGAUCUAACAAUUUGUAUUGAAAGAUAAACAAACGAAAGUGUUUGUUAAUAGAACUACUUUAUAGCUUUGUUCAGAAUCUUCCCUGCAGGAAUUUUUUAGACAUGCGAGGGAUAUAACUGGAGGUAGAAACUGAUUUUACUCAUUUCAUCUUACAGUUGAUAAAGUGAAUAAAAUCAGCUUUGCCCCCAAUGUAAUCUACCCUUAGAUGUCUAAAAAUAACUACUUUGCUUAUCCAUCUUUCUUGAAUUUCCACAGGGCAAAUGCUGAAUAGGUUGCAAAGUAAUCUUGAAAACAAAAGCUCUUGGUAUAUUUUUCUAUCCUCUAAUGCAGGUAGUACAUGUUUCUUUCCUUUCUUGCUAGGUCUAAAGACCUUUACUUAGCGUUUGAUAUAUCUAUAUAUAUAUAUAUAUAUAUAUAUAUAUAUAUAUGUAUAUAUGAUGGUUCAAGUGAAAAGUAUUACACAUCACUGUAGUCAUAAAUGUCGAAUUUGUUCCUAAAUUGUCGGCCUUAGCUUCGUGAGUGCAAAAAACUGCUAAAUUUAUUUACUCCACCUUAUAUCACAUUGCCUAUUCCUUACCCUGUUUUUUUUUUUCUUUUUCAUGUCUGGGAAACAUCUACCUUGAUGGUGUAAGCUAUUAGUAGCAUGUUAUACAUUGCUAGUCCAUUUUCUAACAGUUUAAACUUUCAGGAUUUUAGCAUGAUAUUUGAGCUCUAGUUCCAAGAGGUCUUAGAUUGGAGCCUCUUUGCUUAUCUAUUCCUUUGUUCUGUGCCUCACCAAAUGUCCAAAUGCUUUUAAAUAGGCUGAAAAAAGGAAAGAAGGGUUCAUAUCAUUGUCUCGCCCAUGGGAGUGUUUGAGCUUCAGAAGAGAUUUCCAUUCAGUCCCAUUUAGUCCUUGAAAACAAGUGUUGAAGAACAGAGCUCAUCAGAUUGCUGCCAUGAAGACAAUGAGCUAAGCUAGCUCAUCCCAAAUGAUUUGAAUGAAACAAAUGGAGGCUUCUAUUGGCUAUGUAAAUACUUAAUAACCUUCUCUUUUUGGUGAAAAUGUGGCUGUUGACUUUGGAGACCAAUGGGCACAAGUGUUCCCAUGGUUGGACAUGUAAAAUACCUUUAGAGCAGAUCAUAUAGGUUUCUUAUGAGCUUCCAUGGGUGAGAUAAUAUAUAAUUUCUUUCUUUUUUUUUUUGCCUGCGACAAAAUCUUCAACAUGUCCCUUAAGUCAAAUGAUUAUAUGGCUGCUUAGUGGUUACAUAUCCUUUUUAAUAAACUAUGCUUUCUUUAAUUUUUAUAUUUAAUGGGUUGUGUGGAGGCUUCAACACCAAGAAGUGCACAUUCUCACCAUUUCACUAACAUUUUAAUUACCCAAUUUCCAAUCAACAUAGCAUUGACUUUAUUCCUUCUUCCACUUGAUCACCAACUAGCCUUAAAAGAAAAUCCCAACUAACAUUUUUUGAGUCAAUUUUCCUCUAUUUGAUCAUUGAGCUAUGACCCAUUUCACAGAUAUAUUUUUUUCUUGGGAAACAAACAAUCAUAAAAAAAUACAUGAAACUAAAAGUAAUAUAAAGGGGAAAAAGGUUAUAAAAAAAAAAAAGCCUGGAAUUAGGUUAAUUAAUUUUCACAUAUAUCCCAACUAACAUUUUAUGAGUCAAUUUUCCUCUAUUUGAUCAUUGAGAACCCAUUUAAUAUAUAUAUAUAUAUAUAUAUAUAUAUAUAUAUAUAUAUUCUUGGGAAACAAACAAUCAUAAAAAAUAGAUGAAACUAAAAGUAGUAUAAAGGGGGGAAUUUUCUUUUUUUUUUUUUCCCUAGAAUUAGGUCAAUUAAUUUGAUGUCAACUCUAUUGUUGGAUUGUUGGAUAAGCAUUGAUUCCAUUACCAACAAAGCACAGAAUUUAAAAUUGGUAGAUUUUUUUAAAACUUUUUAUUUUUAUUUAGUUAUUUAUUUAUUUAUUUGAUUUUGAUUCGAUGAGGAUGACCUCUAGAGAAUAAAUUAUUGAAUGCUUGCCUUGUUCAAUUGCAUUAUUUUGAUAAUGGAAUCUAGCCAUCUAUGCUAGCUAGGAUUUGAAUAUAAGGAUUUUCACAAUAUUUUAUUUUAUUUUUUAAAAUUUUAUGCAUACAUUGAAUUAUAUAUUUGAUGUGUAAGACAACCUUUCUCUAUUACUAUAAUGAGAAUAUGAUAAAUGUAUUUUACAAUAUUAAGUCAAAAUGACAUAAUUAUCCUUAUUUCAGAAAAAUAGCUCUUACUUUUUUUUGUCUGAGAAAGGUUAUAAUCCAUGUUCUUGAAAAAUGAGAAUUAUUUUUCCAAUUUUAGAAUUAUUUUAUUUUUUUAAUUAAAUAAUUUUUAAUUGGAUUUUCUCAAAAAAAAAAAAAUUGAAUUAAUUUAUGAUCUUUUACAUAUUUUAUAUUUUAGACAAAACAAUUUACAAACAUUUUAAAGAAAAUAACAUUACCCCAAAGGAUCAAAACAUAGAAUUGAUAGUGAAAUAAAAAGAAAAAGACCCAUUUAGUUUCAAAGGGCUAUAAGCAAUAUGGCCCACACUUAGGAUUAGGCUUCCUAAUCUUAUCCAGAAAAAGGUACAAGUUGUGUAAUUCUUUUUAGACAUAGCCACUAUAUAUGGUUGAUAAUGGAUGCCACCAAGGUCUUUAUUGAUGGUUUUGAGAAUAGGAAAUUUACACAAGUUUGACUAUAAAUUUUUUUUGAAUUUAUUAUAUUCGAAGUGAUGUUUUCAUGGUUUAAACACUUUUUGUAUUUUUAUUUUUAUUCUUAUUGUACUUGAUGCAUUUUUCAAUCGAUCAUAUUUAGUUGUCAAUCUAUAAUCGAGCAUAAGAGAAAAAGAAUUUUGGAUGAUAGCCAAAACCCCUUAAUGAAGUUUUUAGUGAUGUGAUUGCAAUUAAAGGUCCAUUCGAGAAUAGCAUUGUCAUAUCAUUUGAGGAAAAAAAAAUAUCAAAAGAAAAAUAUCGUGACUAAAAUUUAAGUCAUUGUUAAAAGAACUAUUUAAUGUCAAAAAUAUACUAAAAGGAAAACAUCUUUUAGUGGUGGAUGAGCAUUUAGUGAUCACUAAAGGAAUAUUUAAUGCGAUCCUCAUUUAAUUGUUGCUUUGUCUUUCAUACCACUUAAAACUUUCGACAUCAUGAUUCAAAUUUUUUUAUGGUGACUUUAUGUCCACCAAUUAUAAUUCUUAUUUUCAUAUAUACAUGAUAUAUUGUUAGAAUUGAAAGCGACAUUAUUUCUUAAUUUUCAAUGUAUUCCAACAUUAUAAAGUCAAUAAAGGCUCAAACAAUGGCAUAUGCUUUCACUUCUUUCAAAUGCCUUCAUGUCAUCUACACUAAAAUGCUAUGAACUCUUUAUUCUAAUAAAAUAAAAAAAAUCAUUGACUUUUUCAAAUAUCAUUGUUGAUACCUUGCAAUUUAUGAUAAAUGAUAAAUCAAAUCAAAUAUAUAAUCAUUAUAGACUAAAAGAAAUUUCUUGAAUUACAUUAUUUUUGAUUUAUCUUUUUAGACUAUGUUUAGUUUCUAAAAAUUUUAAGAGGAAAAAUAGGAAAAAAAAAAAGUGAAAAAAAAAUGGAUUUAAAGUCAAUAAAUUAUUUUUAUAAUACUUUAAAUUCAUUUUAAUUAUUUUUUUCUCUUCUAUAUAAAUAUUAAAUAAUUUAAAUAUAUAUAAAUUUUAAUUAUAUUUUAUUUUUUGGCAUUUUUUAAUUAUAAAACCAAACAUGUGAAAAUGAGUUUACCUAGACUAUUUUUUUUCCUUAGUACUUUUCAAAUUGUAAAUAUAGUCUUAAAAUAUGUUGUCCAUAUUAUUUGAUUCAAUGAACAUGUAAGAGAGACAACUUAAAGACUAAACUCGAUAUGAAAGGGACGCUCCAACCAAUAUGUAGAUUUCUUAAUGUUUCAUUGUACAUAACUUCAUUUAUUUAUUUUUGGACUAGUAGAAAACACGUGUUAAUUUUUUUGAGAUCCUUUGCUUGUGAUUUAUUUUCAACAAUCUUUUGGCCAUUGUGUGAUAGUCAACAAACUACAAACUCCUUCCACCAAAGGAAGGGUUUCAUCUUCAAAAUACCUUACUUACAUAACAAGCUUUUUCCUUCUUCUCUGACUUGAUUCCCUCUUUUCAAGAGGGGUGGCAAAGAAAUUUAUAUAAAAAUAAAUUUUGAUUGCAAGGACAAAUGAUAAGUACGACUGUACGACAGAUUAGGGAUAAAUCAAUAGAAUAUAAAAUUUGACAAAAUUUUUAUAUUUUAAUAUUCCAAGGCAUCUUAUGUUUAAAUAUUAACCAAAAGCUUCUAGGAUAGACUAUGAUUGUCUCAUGUGGACUUGGUCCAUGGCACAAGGGUGGAAAUAAUUCGUUUAGAGUUUCUUUUUAUUAUUAUUAUUAUUAUUAUUAUUAUGUCUAAUUAGAAAAUUUUGAAUAUUGUAUACAAAUUUUUAAGUGAAAAAUAAAAAUAAAGAUGGUAAAACACUAUUAGAUGUGACUUGUCAUCAAGGUUUUAUUAUUAAGUAUAAGUUGCUAUCAGGGUACUAUUAUCAAGCAUGAGUUGUAUCAAAGGUCUAUUGAGUUGAAAACUAUAGGCUUUUAGAAAAAAUUUCUAUUCUUUAUAAAAAAAAAAUUAGAAAAACACGUUUGGUAUUGAAAAAAGUUUUUUUUUUUUUUAUUCUUAAAAACAAAAAUAGAGUAUUUUCAAAAAAUAUCUUUUAGUUGUUUAAAAAAAUAAUUAUACAAACAUAUAGAAUGAUUAAAACUAUAGCAAUAGAUAUAUGAAAUAUUUUUAAAACAUAUUUAAAAAAUAUUAAAAUAGGUUAAAAAUAUUUUGGAUUAUAAAAUAUCAUAAAAUAGUUUUCAAAAUUUGUUUUCAAAACUGUUUUCAAAAACUGUUACCAAACAAGACCUAAAUCUUUUGAUUUUUCUCUUAUUUUCUAUAAAUAAGCAUUAUUUUGAGUAAUCAAUAGUGCUUAGUUCUUUAGUAUGAGAAUUAUUUUUUGCCUUUCUCUUGGAUUAUUUUGCAUAAAACAUUUAAUGCAUAUCCCACUCACAAAUCAUGCAAAAUUUCCAUCAAAAUAAUUCAAGAGGAGGUAAAUGUCAACUUGAAUACACAUGUGAGCAUAAUAUUAGUAAAACUUUAUAAUAAAAUCUUAUAUUAAUAAUAAAUUAUAAUAAUUUGAAAAUUUACAUACAUCUAGAAUGUUAAAAAAAGAAAAAAAGAAAAAAAAAGAGCAAGUUGACAAAUAUAAUCAAGUAACUAGAAAAAAAAAAUUAAAAAAAAAAACCUUGAAUUAUCACUCUUUUUCAUAUUUAAAAUAUGCCCAAAAUAUAUCAGACAAUCUUGGUUUAGUCAAAAAUAGGUAACCAUCAUCCAUCAAAUGGUGUGUAUAGUUGAUUUUUUUUCACUAAAUGGUGACAUAACAAAACUUUCAGUCAUUUGACUAUAUUACAAAGGUUCCAAAACAUCCUUAUCAGAUCAAAAUUCCACAAAAGCAAACCUCAAUAUUCAAUUAUUAAGACCCAUAAAUAAUUGUAUGAAUGCUCACUUGACUGUAUUGGGAAGGGUACACUGGAUCCACCCAUAACAACCCAAUAUUUUUUUAGUCCUUCAUAUAGAAGUUAAUUAAUUUAUAUUAUACAUUUUUUUUUUCUAUCAACAGCCACAUAAAAUAUAGAGGUGGGUUGGUGAUGAUGCCCUAAUAGUAAACUUUAGAGACUUUGAAAAUAUAUGCUCAACAUAACAUGUUGGACCAGCAUAUAGAUUACAUAAAAAAAAAAUACAAAUUGUACAAUAAUCCUUUUUUUUUUUUAUCAAUUUAUUAAUUGGGGUUUCCUUAUUUUAUUUCCAAAGUUUAAUAAGCUGCCUGUUUUAUUAGAUCUAAAUGGAAGGAGUCCUUAUUACCAAAAAAAAAAAAUCCAAAAAAAAAGGGAACAACAACACUACUUUUUGUGAAUAUCAUGGAUGGCAGGUGUAAGGCCUAAUUAAUUACAUGAAUAUCAAUACUUUUUGUGAAAAUAUAUUUCUUGUAAGGAUCCAAGCAUUCUUAAAUUAUAAAAGGGUUAUGAGAUGUUUUACAUGGAAAAAAUUAUUUGAGAAAAUAAUUAUUUUUACUUGGGUAUUGGUAAAUUUCUCUAAAAUUUUCUUUGAGCAUGCACAAGAAAAUUAUGUACCAUAACUAGGGGUAACAAAGUUUGACACAAUUCACCUAUACAAUACAAAUCCAACAUGUUUUUUUUUGCGGAUUUUGAUUAAGUAUAAAUGAGUUUAGUCAAAUUUGUGUGGAUAAUAUGUAUAAUCCGUUUAAUAAAUAGGUAAUUUUUGGAUCAACCUUCAUAACAUGAAUUUGGCCUAAUUAAUUAACCUGAUAAUCUCAUUAUUAAUUUAAUUAUAUUUUUAAACCAUUUAAUUUGAGUCAUUUUAAUUUUUUUUUAAAUAAAUAGGUCAAUUGACUCAUAAACAUAAGUUAAAAUAUUAAUUAUAUAGAUAUAUAAAAAAACCUAACUCAAACUAAUUAUUAAAAAAAAUAAUUUGAUUAUUAAAUGGUUCAAAUGAGUUUCAUAAUGUGUUAUAUAUUUAAUAAUGAAAUAGUAUUUAAAUUUAUGUUUCUAAAAUGAUUACUAUUUGGAAUUGACUUGAUCUAUAUAAUAGAAUAUUUAGGUUUUGAUGACAUAACCCAUCUAUACAAAUUGUCACACCUAGACAUUAUAUGUAAAAUAUAUGCAUUUAUUGAUAAUUUGAAAAUAAAUUUUGAAUAGAUUCUCUACUUCAAUUUUGAGAGCUUUUACAAAAUAAAGGUCGAUCAAGCAUGGAGAGAAGCAUUUUAAAAUAUUAUCAAAAUGGGAAAAAAUAAUUAUUAAAAUUGAUUUUAAAUAUUGGAACGUUUAUAUUGGGAAAUAUAACGGAUAGUGGGAAAUUUAAAAAGAAAAAAAAAUCAAAUAGGAAAUAUAACAAUAAAUAGACAAAAAAGGGAUUAGAAGGAAAAGAUAGGGCGAGAAUAGAGGGGAGCCGUGGAAAGGGUAGGGGGGUUGACUUGAUCAAGAAGGAAACGUGUCAUUGCAGGCUUUGUAUACGGCUCAGUACUUCCAACUGCGUCACCCCCACCUGGUUUUCUCCUAUCUUAUUCAUCACCUCUUCCUCCUCCGUACGUCCUUCAUAUAUCUCAACACAUCUUUUUCAAUAGUAUUUAAUUUACGAAUUUGACAUCUAUGUGUGAGUGAAUAUCAUAUAUAUGGUCUUCUUUCUCUCCUUGUUCAUACGAACAACCCCAUUAGUUAGAAGCUAGAAUAACAACACCUCAACACCUUUGUGCAGUUUCUCUCUUUUGUGGGGAUAGAUCAUAUAGGUUGUGGGUUGUGGUUUGUGGUUUGUGGUUUGUGAUUUGUGAUUUGUAAGGAAGGAAAAUAUAUUGAUUAUAGGGAGAAGAAAAAGGAAAAGGAGAAGGAUGAUGUAUGAACAACAACAGCAGGUGAUGAGGAUGGAUUUGAGGAAGAGGGAGAGGGAGAGGGAGAGGGAGAGGGAGAAGGAGAGAUCAAUUGAGGAAGAGAGGCUUGAGAUUGUUGAUUUGAGUGGCAUGUCCCUUGACGCUCUCCCUAAUCCUUCUCUUAACUUGGCUGCCAUCUGCAAGCUAGACCUCUGCAACAACAAUCUUCAGGUAUAUCCAUGUUCAUGUUUAUAUUUUUGGCUUUUGGGUUCUUCUUGUUUGGCUUGGUUUAGGGUGUCUAUGUAAUGAUUUCAUGUGUUUGAUCGAUGGAAGGUUAAUCAAUUCAUUGAGACUCCAAUGGAUGAAAACCCAUUUGGGGUUUACCAUUCUUCAAGUGGGAACUCAAAUGAAAUGGGCUUUUCUCAUUUUCCACCUUUUUGGAAGAAAAAAAAAGUCUUAUGGUUGUAUCAUGCAUGUAUUUUUCCUUUUCAUCUCAUGAAUCUUUUGAAUCUUUUGAAUCUUUUGAUUGGUAUAGAGGCUAUAAGAAGUCAUAUUCAUAGAACAAGUUUUGACUAUUUGAUAAUUUUUAUCAUUAAAUCAAGAUAAUUAAAUUUUGCUUAAUGAAUCAAUUUUAUCUUUUAUAGGUGUGAGAAAUUAAGGAAUUUGCAUGUGGAAGCUAAUUAGCCAAAUAUCUCCUAAAAGUGACAUAAACCUAUCAAUUGUCACACCAUCACCUAUGCCUUUGCAAAGUCUUCACAUGUCACUUAAUAUUUAUAUAGCUAUGCAUUUAUAUUCAAAUCCUUUUAUAUGUGUUAUUGUACUAAUCAAAGUUGAUUCAAAUUGGACAGAAUAUACCAGAAUCCUUAACAGCAAGACUACUAAAUGUGGUGAUAUUGGAUGUGCACUCAAAUCAGCUUAAAUCCCUCCCAAACUCAAUUGGGUGUCUUUCAAAGCUCAAGGUUUUGAACAUCUCUGGGAACCUCAUUCAAAACCUCCCCAAAACCAUUGAAAAUUGCAGGUUUGUUUUCUCCUCCUUGUGCAUCUCUUUCUAUAGGCAUCAACAUUUGAUCUUCUUAGUUCCACCAUGAGAGAUAUUCUUAUGAAUUUUCACAAAGAGAAUUCAACUUUGAUUGAUGAAGUUCAACAAAGUCUUUUCAACAUAAAUAUAUAGUUAAUAUACAUAGUACCAAAUUAUUAGUUUUCAUGUGAGGUUGCAACCACGUCAUGCAUUGAUUUGGAGGAUUAGUGUUUGUUUUUUUGAUUGAAUAGAAAAAAAAUAAAAUAUUUUAUUUUUUUUAUUAAGUUAAAAAUAAUUUGUAAUAUAUCAACUAAUAUAACUAAAAUAAAUUUAUUAUUAAUAUAUUUAAUUUAAUUAUAUUGGUUGAUAUUAUAUUAUUUUUUAUUAAAGAGUUAUUCAGUGUCCCUCUUCCUUUAAGAAAAGGUGGAAUUUCCUUUAUUCUCGGCGUGAUUGACUGAGAUUUUGGACCCUCUAUAGUCAGAGACUGAAGGAGAACUGUAUCAGAAGUCCUAAGUGCUCAUUAAAAAUAGUUCUAGGCCACCUUUGAGCAGCCCCAGCUGUCCAUUAACUCCAUUACUUACUAAUAAAAUAUGGGCGAUUGAGGACUGAGGAGAAUAUAAACAAUCAAGGUUCAAACCCUUGUGGAAAGAGUCUUAAUUACUACACGAAUGCUGAGAUGGUUGGAUUUGCUGUGCAAGCAAUAAAAUAGUUUUUGCCUCAUUUCUGGGGCAGAAAAUGGAGUCAAAUUGGAGUGGAUUCACAUGGUUGUGGCUCUUUAACAUUUUUCUUAUGGAUGGAGUCAAAGGCUAGAUAUCAACCCUCCUUUGAAGCUUAUUCCCAAGAAAUCCAAGAUAUAUGAGCUAUAUGUCUCUUUCCUCUUUUAAACAUAAAGGUUAUGUUUAUUCCCAAAAAGAAAAAAAUGUUGAAAAGAAAAGAUUUUCUUAUAUUUGAUUAUAUUAUAAAAAAUAAAAAUAAAAAUAAGAUAUAAUUAAAAUUAUUUAAAAAUUUAUGUAUUUUUAUAUUUUUAAAGUGAAAUGAGUUUAAAUGAGCACAUGAAAAUAAUUGAUUGAUUUUAAAUUUGUUUUUUUUUUUAAUUUCCUUCACUUUUUUAUUUUUUUUUAUUUUUACUUUCUAUUUUUUUUUUUCUUAAAAUUUCUAUUAACCAAACAUAGUUUAAGAUUUUUUCGUGAGGAUGCUUCAAGUGAUAAUUUAAUAUAAUAAAGAAUGAUUUUCUAUUGUAUCAUUCUCAAACCCGAAGCUUAGAUUGAAAAAAAUUCCUUUAAGAUCAAAUGUUAUUGCUCUCAUUUGAUGGAUUAAAUGUGAUUAUUAGUACAAGUGAUUAAAAUUCCAUCAAAUAUUUGUGGUUCUCACACAGGUCAUUGGAGGAACUGAAUGCCAACUUCAACCAGCUGACCAUGCUACCAGACACCAUAGGAUUUGAGCUAUUGAACAUCAAAAAGCUCUCAGUGAACUCCAACAAGCUCAUGCUCCUUCCUUCCUCCACUUCCCACUUGACCUCUCUUCAGGUUCUCGAUGCCCGGCUCAACUGCCUGAGGGCCCUCCCGGAAGACCUGGAGAACCUCAUCAACCUACAAGUCCUCAAUGUCAGCCAAAACUUCCAAUACCUUGAAACCCUCCCAUACUCCAUAGGCCUCCUCAUGUCCCUGGUGGAACUCGACGCGAGCUACAACAGGAUAACUACGUUGCCCGAUUCAAUGGGAUGCCUCAAGAAACUGCAGAAGCUCUGUGUAGAAGGAAACCCCCUCGUUUCGCCUCCAAUGGAGGUGGUUGAGCAGGGCAUGCAGGCAGUGAAGGAGUACUUAAGCGAGAAGAUGACGGCGGCGCAUAGAUGCUCACCAAAGAAGAAGUCAUGGAUUGGGAAGCUGGUGAGAUAUGGCACAUUCAAUGGGACAAAUAACGCUAGCCGGGAGGAGAGGGAAGGCUUCCUCAGGUCCGAUUAUCGGUCCAUUGAAGGCCUUGCUACUCCUAGAUCCGUUGGGAUGUUUUCACCAAGACGCCUCUUCUCACCAAGAAACUACUUCUCAAAAUGAUCAUCUAUACAUCAUCGUAGCUCUUCUUCAAGUAGAUUGUGGGAUUAUGAUAUAUAUAAUACAUGUUUGGGGUGAUCUUUAAUGGUACUGGUCUUUGUUUUUUGUGCUGAAUAAUAAAAGUCAAAAUAUUUUAUCUUUUUUCUUCAGCGAAAGUAACUUACUAAUAUUAAUCAAUAUAAUUAUAGUAAACUUAUUAUCAAUAAGUUCAAUUUAGUUACGAUGAUUUAUUGAUAUCAAUGUAUAACUUUUAAUUGAAUAGAAAAAAACCAAAAAACAAAUACCAUCACAUGAAAUAUUAGGUCUAUCAUCAAAAAAUAGUGACAGGGGUGUGAUUGAUCUACUUGCAUAGAGAUGUUCUAGGGCAAAUAUAUGUAGCAAUUUGUGUUGUAUUUUUAUUGUAAGUAGGUAUAUGCAUGCAUGCAUGGUUGCAUAUAUAUAUAUAUAUAUAUAAAUAUAUGAAUAUUGUAAGAUAAUUGUAAGAUUUGGUUACUUUAAGAGAUUAUCUCCUUUUCUUGGACACUUUUUCUGACCUUUUGGAAGUGUAAUAUUAAUCCUAUCACAAGAUCAAGACAAAAGUGGUUUGUUUAAAUAAAUUUAAAUUUGUCAAAUUUAUUUGAAGGUUAGGGCAAAAAUAAUUAGAUUUAGCUUUAAAAAAAAAUAAAAGUAUUAAAAUAUUUUAAGUUAAUUAAGAUUUAUCCUGUGGUACUUAACUUUUAAAAAAAGAGAAUAUUUCGUCACAGGACUAUUUGGUUUGAAAUGACGUCUAGCUGAAAUUAAAAAGAAAAUUUAAGAAGAAAGAGCCAAUUUUCUUCUAGAAGGGCUGAUCAAUACCCAAAAGAGCCGGUCAACUCAAAAGCCAAUUGACCAAAAAAGGCAAAAAGAAAAGAGGAGGGAAUCACAUGAAAUUGUUCCAUGGUCACCUAACUCUCCUUAGCCUUAUUAAUCCGACAUUGAUAAUCAAGAAUGGACGAAUCACAUGGAACUUUUUUUCUAGACUGUAUAUGGUUUUUUUUUUAAUAAUUUUAUGAUUUUAUUUGUUUUAGGUUUAAUGAAGCUUUGAAGCUUUAAAAUUCAUUUACGUAAUUAAGAAAAACCUAUGAUAUAUAUAAUGUUAAAAGAAUUUUUUUUUUCUUUAUCUGAAAAGGGCUAGGAGAAAAAUAGAGACGGUCCAAAAGGAGAAAAUCAAAGUUUAAAAGUGAGUUUCAAUUAUCUUUUUAAAAAUGGCAUAAAAGUAUUAUUAAUGGCGGAGUUAGAAAAUAAGUUGAAAAGAGAGUCGAGAACAAUAAUUUAUUUUCAAAUGGGACAAAAAAAAAAGCAAAAAAUAAUUACAUAUGUCUUGUGGGUGAGGUUACGUUUUAAAUUGAAGGAAGAGGUUUAAAUCCCGCAAGUUUUUUUCACAAAUUUCAAGGGAGCCACAUAUGCCCGCUAAGCAUUAGAUGACUCAUGAGUAUUAUUAAAGUAAUUAUUAGCUAGAAUACAAAUUAAUUUUUGCUUAUUUCAUCUUUAAAACUAGCUAUAACAAGAUCAUUUGGAUAUGAAAAAGGUAAAAUAAUUACCUUAUUAAAUGUAAUAGUUGGUUUGCAUUAUCAUGCAUUAAAUCUAGUUAUAACCUAAGAUAACAGUUUGCGAAACCCAUGUCCAACUAACUCUAAUACUAUUCAUGAUAACUCAUUCCCGAUCAUGUAGAUAUUCUUCAUUAUAGAUUCAAUGACCUAUGUUUUUUCUUAUCGAUAUGAGGUGUCACAAUUUUUUUUUUUUUUUUGAUAAGUAAAAAUAAGUGCAUUAAUAAAAAGGCAAAAAGCCACAAAGCAUAUAGGGGGUAUACAAGGCGACCAAGGCCUCAAAAAGCAAAGACAAAAAGAAUCGCUUCCCCUUAAGUGGAUGCUACCCACUCCAAGAAACCUAUAAGAGAGAAAGUCUCCUCACCUAAAUACAAUUUGAUCCAACUCCAUAGAUUACAAACAAAAAAAUUCUUUAACUUCAGAAUAUUCAACACACCGCCCCUAAAAGUUAAUCUAUUCCUCUCCUUCCAUACCGUCCAAAAAAUACACAACGGAAUGGAUUCCCAAACCUUUUUCCUUUUCUUCCCCACAAAGGAGCCCCUCCAGGUAAUUAAGACUUCCUUUACAGUUUCUGGAAAGACCCGUUUAACAUCUACUAACCCAAGGACAAUAUCCCACAAAGCUCUAACCACUAUACAAUGUAUAAGAAUAUGAUUUACAUUUUCUUCUUCACACUCACGCAAAAAACAACAAUUCAAAAGUUGCACCCCUCUUCUUUGGAGUCUAUCCAGAGUAAGCACAUUCCCCCACGUCGCCUCCCAAGCAAAGAAGACGACUUUAGUUGGCACCCUAACCACCCAAAUACUUCUUGAAGGAAAGUCGGUAUCAUUAGGAUUGGUCAACAAGCUAUAAGCUUCCUUGACCCUGAACUGACCAUUUCUUCCUUGCUUCCAAAUAAUUGAGUCUUCCUCCAAAGAAGGCCUAUGACCCCUCAGCACAUGGAGCAAAUCCCCAACCAUAUCUAGCUCCCAAUCAUUGAAGUCCCUAAAAAAAUUUAGGUUCCAACCUCCUUGACCAGAAUUUUGGUCCCACAUUCCCUCAACCGUUGAACUCCUUUGAAUAGCCAUGACGAAGAGAUGAGGAAAGCAAUGGGACAGUGUUGUAUCAGUACACCAAACAUUUGUCCAAAAUCCGAUCUUGGUGCCCUUCCCAAUUCGGAAUAUCAUGUUAUCCCAACACCAAUCUGAUUAUUUCCAAAUCUCAUUCCAAACCCCUACUCCAAUCGCUCAAUUAGCCUUCUUUGGCCUCCAUCCAAGACCCUCUUGCCCAUACUUCACCGUAAUCACUUGUUUCCAAAGAUUAUCUUUGUCACAAGUAUACCUCCAUAUCCACUUGCUAAGAAAGGCUUUGUUCAACAUGGCUAGCUUCCUAAGGCCUAGCCCACCCUUUUCCUUGUCUGUACAAACCACCUCCCAAUUAACUAGAUGAAUUUUCCCCUCCAAAUUUUCCCCUCCCCACAGGAAGUCCCUUUGCACUUUCUCUAGCCUUCUAGCAAUAAUCUUGGGCAUUCUAAAAAUAGACAUUUGAUAGAUUGACAUGCUAGCCAAAGUAUUUUUUAUUAAAGUGAUUCUUCCCCAUUUGGAGAUAUAUUGUCAUUUCCAAAGCGCAAGUCUCCUCCUUACUCUCUUUUCCACCCCAUCCCACAUAUAAGGAGCUCUAUUAGGAGCCCCUAGAGGAAGUCCCAAAUACUGAGAGGGUAAGGACCCCACCCUAUAGCCUAACUCAACAGCCAACUCUUCAAUCUCCUCCACCUCUCCAACUGGAAUAAUUUCACUUUUGGCUAAAUUAAUCCUUAGACCUGAAGCCGCUUCAAACCAGAGUAAAAUCCAACUUAAGUGAGUUAGAUGCUCCUUACUAGCCUCACAAAACACAAUUGUGUCAUCAGCAAAAAAUAAAUGGGAGAUGUUCAAAGAGGAUCUGCUGCCACCCCUAAUGUUACACCCUGAUAAAAAUCCCCCAUCCACGGCUCUCCUAAUAAGAACAUCUAACACUUCCAUUCCCAUAACAAAGAGAUAAGGAAAUAGGGGAUCUCCUUGUCUAAGGCCCUUAGUGCUAGGGAAGAAGCCAUCAGGCACCCUAUUAACCAAAACUGAGAAUUUGGCUGAAGACAAGCAACUCCACAUCCACCCUAACCACUUAGACCCAAAGCCCAUCUUUUGCAAAACCUUCAACAAAAACUUCCAAUUGAUGCUGUCAUAAGCUUUUUCUAUGUCCAAUUUGCAAAUAAGACCCUUUUAUUUUCGUUUCUGCCACGAGUCUAUCACUUCAUUUGCAAUUAAAGAAGCGUCAAGAAUUUGUCUUCCCAUCACAAAGGCAUUCUGAGAAGUGGAGACCACCUUUCCGACCACUUUUUUAAGCCUAUUAGCUAGCACUUUAGCCAAUAACUUAUAAAGCCCCCCUAGAAGACUAAUAGGUCUAAAAUCUCCAAGGUCCUCAGCCCCACUUUUCUUGGGAAUCAAAACCAAAAAAGUAUUGUUGACGCUCUUGAGGAAAGAGUUAUGCUCAUGGAAUUCCUUGAACAUUUCUAGGAUCUCCUCUUUAACAAAGCCCCAACAACUUUGCCAAAAAGUCGUAGCAAAGCCAUCCGGACUAGGGGCUUUAUUCCCAUUCAUCUCCAUCAAAACCGUAUGAACUUCAUCCUCUAUAAAAAGACUCUCCAGAUUCUCCGCUUCUUGCUGACUGAUUGAUCAAGCUGAAGCCUCCCAAUGUCCGCCUUCCACCCCGUAUCUUCUGAUAGCAGCUGAUGAAAAGCAUUAGCAAUUCCUUCCCUAACCUCUUGCUUCUCUGAAAGUCAUUCUCCAUUGAUCUUAAUUCUGUCCAAAGAAUCGUUUCUACGAUGAGCAUUUGUCAUACAAUGGAAGAAACCCGUGUUUCUAUCCCCCUCCUUCAGCCAGAUCUCCCUUGAAAGCUAUCUCCAAUGAGUUUCCUCCAAAAGCACCCACUUUUUGUAAUUUUCUUUUGUUUUUUUUUUUUUUUAACUUUGUUUCCUCCACAGUCAGGUUUCUCUUGCUUUCCAUCCAGUCCCAGAAAUCCAUUUGCUGCAAGGCUGAAGAUUUGUUGCAGUCCAGCCUCCUAAAAACUUAUUUAUUCCAAACUUUCAGCUUCUACUUGAUUUCCUUCAUCUUAGCAGCCAAUUUAAAUCUAGCACUGCCCCUGACUUCGAUCCCCUGCCACCAACUAUGUAUAAGGUCUUUGAAUCCCUCAACCUUAAGCCACAUAUUUUCGAAUCUAAAUGGAGUCAUGCCUCGUCUUAUCCCACCCCCCACUAAAAUGAUUGGGAAGUGAUCAAAAAUCAGCCGAGGCAACCUACUUUGAGUAACCCUACUAAAUUGGUCUAACCAGCUAGGGGACACAAGAAAUCUGUCCAAUCUUGCCCAAGCCUGGUUAUUGUGACCCUCAUUCCAGGUGAACUCUCCCCCCUGUAAAGAAAGAUCCACUAGCCCUAGAUCAUCCACAAUCUCAGCAAAUCUCGUCAUCGUUGAGUUUAUUAUCCUCUGACUGCUCAUUUCCCUUUGGAACAGGGUGAUGUUAAAAUCCCCCCCAGGCACCAGGGGUCUUCCCAAAGGCCUCUAAUCGCCUCAAACUCUUCCCAUAGUUCAUCCAUUUCCACUUUGGAGAAAGGGCCAUAAACUCCCGUGAACACCCAAACAACCCCAUUUUCUAUAUUCCUAAAUUUGUAAGAUAAAGUAAAAUGUCCCUCCUCCCAAUCCAGAAUGUCCAAAGACCUCUUGUCCCAACAAAUUAGAAUUCCUCCCGAAGCCCUCUUCGCAUUCAGAGCUUUCCAAUCUAAAAAUCUCCCAGAGCCUAAACUUCUCACAAUACCCUCCGACAUAGAUUGAAUUUUUGUUUCCUGAAUACAAAGUAAAUCCACCCUCUGGUUACUUAUAAAAGCCUUUAUAAUUUUUCUUUUGGAGCUAUUGUUUGGUCCCCUCAUGUUUAAGCCCAAUGAUCCAUUAGCUAGGCCAAGCCUACCAGCCCUCCUCGCCUCUUUUUGGCCCACGAUUAGGCCUAAGGAAGACGACCCAGACAAUAACUCACUGAUUGAGGUCCAGUCCUGGAUUGCCGGGCUUUGAGCUCGAUUUACCGUCACCCGGCCCGACCCGCCCUCCUGCUCACCCAUAUCUUCAUCUGACAAGUUCAGCGUCUCGAGCCUCAUGCUUACCUACUCCUCCUCCAUGCGCUGCUUCGAGCGUGAAGCAACAUCACCCCUAACCUUGUCGCUCUUUCGUCCAACCUCUUCGUUGAGUUUUUUCCUCAACAACAGUACGCACUCCUAUCACAGUGACAAAGCAUAGACAUCCUCCUCCACUUCGAUUUCCAAUACACUCGGCCUGACGUCUCCUCUCGAUUUGACCAAGAUUCUAGCCCACUGAAUCUCACCCAUCUUCUUCGUCUAGUCAUCAACUACAACAAAACCACCACAUUCUUCCCCCAGUCUUUUCAGAAUCAUCGGACUCCAUAACGAGAUUGGAAGCCCAACGAUUCUCACCAAGACUUCAUUUCCUACAUCUGCCUCUACCCAGCAGCCACUCCUAGGGUUCUAAUGCUCCAGCCCUACCUGGAGUCCUCACAUCGAACGAUUCCCUAAGGAUACGACGCGUCUUGCUUCUUCCAGAUCUUCAAAUUCCAACAAGACUAUAUCAUUUUCCAACUUAGCCAACCCUAAAUUUCCUCUUAGACCUCAAGACUUUGCCCAUAGUCUUCCCAAACUCUCGAGAUAUUCUUCUCUCUCUGUACUGGCUUUCCAACUCGCCACAACGCAAUGUUCCAAUUUCUGUAGAUUUCCUAGUGUUUUCUCCUUUUCAACCUUCACUGCGAUUGAGUUUGCAUUUCCCCAAAUUGGCAUCUUCACUACUGUCGCAUAUAAGCUUUCCACGAUAGACUUCCCCACAACCCUUGCUUCUUGGUUAUUUGAUUUUCUACCAAGAACUCCUACUAGUUGAUGAAGCUUCUCCACCAUAAUCACCCAUCCCCUUUUGUUCCCUCUGCCUCUCGGGAUGAAGAUGCAGAAACUCUUCAUUUCCAGAUCAAUAACCCCUAGCCAAAUAAACCCCCCCGCCUAUUUAUCCCUCGCGUCAUGGAAUACAAUCUCCCAUUUUCCUUUCAUUCCCUUUCCCAUCUUACUUUUUUCUCGUCUUUGAUGCAAUGGGUUAGGUCUUCUAUGAAAAACCCUAAGCUUUCCGGUCCUAGUCGGACCCAUGACGAAACCCCUCCCUUCUUCUCCAUGAUGAGAACUUGGGGUUUUCCUUUCCUUUCAUCUACAACGAUCUCGAAUGCCUUGGACUCCACUACGAAGUUGCUCCCCUUCCUUCUUCUACGAGACGCCGAGUUAUUUUCUCCCUCCUCUCCAUCGCACUCUCUCUCACUCUCUCUCUUGCUCUCUCCCAUCUUUCAUAUGAGGUGUCACAAUUAAAAUUGAAUAUAUAGACCAUGUGAGUGUUAUUAUUAUAAUUGUGGUUUUAGCUAUAUAGUCUCAAACAUCCUCCAUUUGUCCACAAAGAUCCUAACAUUUCUCUCUCACCAUACCAUCUAGAUCAAAGUGAAAUUUCUAACACUCUCCCUCAUGUGACAAUGGAGGAGAGAGACAGGGUUAGAGAGAGAAAGAGCGUGAGAGAGAGUGAGAGCGUUGGUGGAGUGCGAGACUCCCCGAGAGCAACCGAGAAUGUAGAAAGCGAGGUCCUUACGAGGCCUGAGAAAAGCGUCAAGAAGGGUGGCUUCAAAGUGGAAUCGAAAUCGUUUGAGGUUGAGGUGGAAGAGAAGAGAGGCAGACUACAAGCUACAAUCGUGGAGAGGAAAAUAGGGAUUUCAUCGUGGAUCAGGCUGGGACCGACGAGUCUUGGGCUAUUCCUCGAUUGUCUGGUUCUGUGCAUUGAGGAUGUGAGAAUGGCAAAAUGGGUAAGAAAGUGGCAGGAAUGCAAGAGGGCUUAUUCUCUGGUGCGCGAUAAUAACAAAGGGGGGUGCUUCCUCCGGUUAGAUGUUGUGGAUUUGGAGAACAAGAGAUUUAGCAUCUUCAUCCCUAAAGGAAGAUGAGCAAAUGGCGGUUGGGUUUCAAUGGUGGAGACGUUACGACGCUUGGGCUGUGCAAACAGAGGAAUGACAAACCAAAAAGAAUAAGAGCCACGCUUGAAGCCAAGCACAGCGAAGACCUUCGCGAAAGUAAUCAAAAUGUUGAGGGGUAAAGAUAGAGCAACAAUUAGGGUGGAGGUCACAAAGGAGUUGUGUCGGAACUUAAACAAAUUGGAUCACUGUGUGGUUGGGAUAUGGAACCCUAGCACAACAAAGGGGGACGACCUACGAAGUUGAGGGACUUAGUAGGCGAAAAUCUGGAGUCUGAAGGGCAACCUAUGGUUAGCAAAACUGGAGAGGGGCAAGGUAUUGAUGGAAGUUGAACUUUUGAUAGAAGCAGAGCAAGCCAUUAAACUUGGAAGCAUCUCGAUUGGGGGGAUUUUUCUUUGCUUGGAGAAAUGGAGGCCUGAAAUAGGAUGUCUGAGGAAGGGGGAGAACAAGAGUGAAGCCUGGGUGCGAGUUGUAGGCUUACCCGUCUCCUUAUGGGAGCAGGACAUUCUGAGAAUGAUAGGGGAUGAGUGCGGGGGUUUUCUUGCAAUUGACUCCCAAACGAAGAAGAUGGAGGAAUUACAGUGGGCCCGAUUACUAGUAAAACACAACGGUGAGGAACUUCCCAAUGUGGUGGAGGUUUGGGUUGAAGAGCUGUGCUACUCGGUAACUCCCUGGUGGGAGGUCAGACCAAUAAUGAGAGCGGCGACGGUAGGAAAAAGAGGGAAGUCUAUUGCAAUGGGAGAGGAGGCUGGGGGUGAAGCUUGUACACGCGUGGGCGAGCGCAUGAUGGAGGCGAAGGACGAUUCAAGGCUCGAGGCCCUGCUGCUGCAUGCCGAUGGGACGCGGGGUCAGUCAAGCGGGUCGAGGCAAGUUACGGGCCCUAUUUGGAGCUUUGAUGGGCCUCCGAGUGGGCCACAAGGAUCGGGCGGGCUUACCUUGAUGGGCCUAGCAGAGCCUUCUUGGUGCUUUAAGGAAUCAGAGCCCACUGGGCUCGUUUCCUUCUCGGACCCCCCAUGCGUUAAUGGGCCACCUAUUUCUGGUUUGUCGUCUUGGAAGAUCUCUGAGCGGCCCAAGACUCUGGUGCAUCCUGCAAGGUCUAGGCUGGACAAUUGAGGCCCGUCUAUGCCUUUAGCUAUGGUUAGGGCCUAGGGGGGAGGCCCGUCCUUCUUUGGUAAGGGGCCAAAGCCCAAUGGGGGGUCCAGACCCUGACAUUUCUCCCUUCUGGGCGAAGGAUGGCAUGCGGAGGCUUUCUGAGGAGGAGACUCAGUCUGAAGGGAAAUCUAAGACCAAUUGUGCCUUGUUGGAAGUUGCAAGGUAUGAAUACAUCUCUUUCUCUAUUGAACUGGUGGUCUCUGAUUCUCUCUCUUCCCCCUCUCCUAUUUAUGGUCAGACUCCAUUGGGGGAGUAUUACGACCUUUCUGGGGCUGGCUUGGACUUAACCCAGGGGGUUACACAUAGAUUGUGUAACGUUUCUAGGCCUACAGAGUAGGAAGCGGUUAAGUGUUGGGAGUUGAUAGAGGUCAGUACUGACAGCAUUGAAGAGAGCAGAGAGGCAUUGUGCCUUGCUCGGUCUAUGCCACAAGAAGGUAGAGGAUGGGAGGAAGGAAACUGGGAGGAAAGUGAUCUGGCUAGGUUCAACAAGUUUUUGGGAUUUUCGACAGGAGGAUUGGAAAAAGAUAUUUUGGAGUUUCUGGUCAAAAUUAGAAAAAUGAGGGAAAGAGUUCAUAGCAAAACUCUCCUGAAGAAAUUGAGAUUCGAAAGGGAGUUGAAAAGGCUUGAAUGUUCCAUCAAUUAUGAAGGGGGAAGAAGAAGUGUGAUGUGCAAGGAAGAGGGUGCUAGAUUAUGGAAGUCCAAUGAAGAUAAGACUAUUGAGCUGGAAUGUGCGUGGAGCUAACGAUAGCUCUAAAAGAAAAGUGAUUAAGGCCAUGAUCAGAAGCCAGAAGGUUGACUUGUUUUGUAUCUAGGAAACGAAAAUUUAGUCAAUGACAGAUGGUUUGGUGAGGAGUUUGGGCUCUAGGAGGUUUCUUAAUUGGGACGCCAUGGGUGCUCAGGGAGCUGCGAGAGGGAUUUUGAUAUGUUGGGAUAAAAGAACCCUGGAGGUUCUUGAGAUGGAGAUGGGACAGUUCUCAAUUUCUUGUAGGCUUAGGAAUGUAGAAUAUGGGAAUGCUUGGAUCUUCACAGGAGUGUACGGGCCGUUUUCUAAAGAAGAUAGGGAGAUUCUAUGGGAAGAGCUAGGGGCUAUAAGGGGCAUCUGGGAUGACCCCUAGUGCUUAGGGGGCGAUUUCAAUGUUAUCCUCUCCCAAAGGGAAAGGAGCAAUCAGGAAAGGCUAACUGGCGCCAUGAGAAGAUUCGCUCAGGUUGUUGACGAACUAGAGCUCCUAGAUCUUCCUAUGCAAUGGGGGGAUGUUCUCUUGGAGUGGGGGUAGGAACAAUCAAUCUUGGGCUAGAUUGGAUCGAUUCCUAGUGACCCAGAACUGGCUUGAUCACUUUAGUAGGGUUGUCCAGAGUAGGUUACCUAUACCCACUUUUGAUCACUUUCCCAUCUUGUUGAAGGGUGGUGGGUUCAGGCGGGGCCCUUUCCCGUUUAGGUUUGAAAACAUGUGACUUAAAGUUGAUGAGUUAAAGGAUCUUCUUCGGGGUUGGUGGUAGGGGUCGAGGGGGGAGAGGGAGGGUCAGUUUUAGAUUGGCUACAAAGAUGAAGGUCUUGAAGGAAAAAAUUAAAGGAUGGAACAGGGAUGUGUUUGGAAGGCUGGAAGUUAAUAAAAACUUAGCCCUUCAACAAGUUGAAUUUUGGGAUGGGGUGGAGAGUGAAAGGAGUCUGACAGAAGGUGAGAUGGAGCUGAAAAGAGAAGCUAAGGAAACCUUUAAAAAGUGGGUGUUUUUGGAAGAAACUCAUUGGAGACAAGUGUCAAGGGAGCUGUGGCUUAAGGAAGGGGAUAAGAACACAAGGUUCUUUCACCGGAUGGCCAAUGCCCAUCGAAGAAAUAACUCCUUGGAAAAAAAUUAAGAUCAAUGGGAGGUGGUUGGAGGAGGAGCAAGAGGUGAGAGAGGGGGUUGUGAAUGCUUUUUAGCAGCUGUUGUCAUAUGAGCCAGCCUAGAAAGCUGAUAUUGAGGGGCUGCAUCUUCAAAGUCUAAACCAUAAUGAAGCUGAAGGCUUGGAGCAGCCCUUCACUAAGGCAGAAAUCCAUUAUGCUCUGAUGGGAAUGAAUGGAGAUAAGGCUCCAGGCCCGGAUGGGUUCACAGUGGCCUUUUGACAACCUUGCUGGGACUUCGUGAAGGACGAGAUUGUGGACCUGUUUAAGGAGUUUUUUGAUAAGAAAUAUUUUACUAAGAGUCUCAAUUCUACCUUUCUAGUCCUCAUUCCAAAGAAAGGUGGGGCCGACGACCUUGGGGACUUCAGGCCCAUCAGCCUUCUAGGGGGAUUGUAUAAGCUUUUGGCCAAAGUGCUGGCCAAUAGGCUGAAAAAGGUUUUAGAUAAGGUGGUCUCUGUGGACCAAAAUGCUUUUGUGAGAGGAAGACAAAUUUUGGAUGCCUCGCUCAUAGCCAAUGAGGUGAUUGAUUUCUGGCAUAAACGUAAAGAGAAAGGGUUGAUUUGUAAAUUGGAUAUUGAAAAAACCUAUGAUAGCAUUAAUUGGAAUUUCCUCAUGAAGGUCUUGCAUAAGAUGGGUUUUGGAGCUCAUUGGAUGGAGUGGAUCUGGUGGUGUAUUUCAACUGCAAAUUUUUCUGUUCUGGUCAAUGGGGUGCCAGUAGGUUACUUCUCCAAUUCUAGGGGGCUGCGCCAAGGAGAUCCCCUCUCUCCUUACUUUUUUGUGUUGGGUAUGGAAGUGCUAAGUGUGCUUUUAAGAAGGGUUGUUGAUGGGGGAUUCAUUUUAGGUUGUAGUCUUCGAGGAAAGGGGGGAAUGAAGAUGAAUGUGUCUUAUUUGCUAUUUGCUGAUGAUACUAUUAUUUUCUGCGAAGCAAGGCAAGAUCACCUAACCUCUCUAAGCUAAAAGCGAAGUAAUUCCGGUUGGGGAGGUUGAAGACAUUGACGGAUUGGCAGUGAAGUUAGGGUGUAGAGUGGGGUCUCUUCCUAUUGUUUAUUUGGGGCUGCCUCUUGGAGCCAAUCACAAGGCCUCAUCUAUGUGAGAUGGGGUGGAAGAAAGAAUGAGAAGAAGGUUAGCCCUUUGGAAAAGACAAUAUUUGUCAAAGGGCGGGAGAAUUACCCUCAUUAAAAGUAAUUUGGCCAGUAUACCUAUUUACCAAUUGUCUCUCUUUCGAAUGCCCAAGCUAGUUGCAAAAAGGCUCGAAAAAUUACAAAAAGAUUUUCUUUGGGGAGGGGGAAGCUUGGAAAGAAAAAUCCAUUUAAUCAAUCGGGAGGUGGUGUGCACCUAAAAAGAGAAAGGGGGUCUAGGCAUUCGGAAGAUUGAUCUCUUGAAUAAGGCCUUGUUGGGCAAAUGGAUUUGGAGAUUUGCCUUUGAAAAAUAAAUCCUUUGGAAGAAGGUGAUCAGGGUGAAGUAUGGCUAUGAGGGUUUUGGUUGGAGAACUAAUGAGGCUCGCAGAACGUUUGGAGUGGGGGUUUGGAAGGAGAUUUUGAAGGAGAUGAAUUGGUGUUGGGAUAACAUAGAGUUCAAGGUGGGAGAGGGGACCAAGGUUAAUUUCUGGACUGAUCAGUGGUGUGGUAAUGAGGUGUUGUCCCAAACUUUUCCCCAGCUAUUUGCCUUGGCGGUCCAAAAGAACGCUUCGGUCAAUGAAAUGUGGGAUUCUAGCCUUGGUCAAGGAGGUUGGAAUAUAAGAUUCUCCAGAGAUUCUAAUGAUUGAGAGUUGGAUGCUAUAGGAGAGUUGUUUCAUAUGCUAAGGGACUUGAGGAUUUCUUCAGAAGAGGACUCAGUAAUAUGGAAAUGAGGGGGUCACGGUUAUUUUCGGAUUAGGGAUGCUUAUAAGCUGCUGGCAGUCCCUAGUGCCAUCACCUUCCCGAAAAAGAGCAUUUGGGUGGACAAGGUUCCAACCAAAGUUGUUUUUUUUGCUUAGGAGGCCACGUAGGAGAAAAUCCUAACUUUGGAUAGGCUUCAAAGACGGGGCUGGCACCUUCCAAAUUGUUGUUUUUUGUGUGGUUGUGAAGAGAAAAAUGUAAAUCAUAUUCUUUUACACUGUAUAGUGGUCAGGGUUCUCUGGGAGAUUGUCCUUACCUUGUUUGGGGCUCAUUGGUUGUUCCCAGAGACAGUCAAAGAGGUGUUACUUAGUUGGAAGGGCCCCUUUGUAGGGAAGAAGAGGAAAAAGAUUUAGAAUUCCACCCUAUUGUGUAUUUUUUGGACGGUAUGAAAGGAAAUGAAUAGAUUAGCCUUUAGGAGGGGCCCUCUAGCUAUACAGAAGUUGAAAAAUUCUUUUGUAUGUAAUUUGUGGAGUUGGGCUAGGGUGUAUAUGGGAGAGGAGUCCUCUUCACUUUUAGGUUUUUUGAAAUGGCUUGUCAUUCCUUAAGGGGUGGUGAGGUUUUUGUUCAUGUGUUUUUGUUUCCAAGAUGUUGUGUAUACUACCUGUAUGUUUUGUGGCUUUCCGCCCUUUAAUAUAUUUGCACUCAUUUAUAAAAAAAAAAAGUGGUUUUACCUUAUAAUAUUUUGAUUGAUAACACUUCUACUCUAACACUUUUAUUAAUAAUUAUUUUAAGUAUGGAUGUAAACAAAAAAAAAAAAAAAGUUAUUUUUAAGUUGCUAUUUUAUAAUAGAAUACAUAAGCAAAAAUUUAGGAAGAAGCUCUCAUGAUGCACAAAUUCAAAAAUCAUUUCAUGAUUUUUAAAAUUUCAUCAAACACUUAGGACUUGUUUAGGAACGUUUUUAAAAAUAAUUUUAUAUUCUCCAAAAUACAGAACAUAAAAAACACGUAUAACAACGAAAAACUGUUUUCUAUUAUUAAUAAUAAAAAAUAUAAUAUUUUUACAUAACAUUAUUUAAUUAUUUUGUGUUGUUUCCACUAAUUUUUUGAAAGCUAUUUUGAAAAAUAAUUAUACAAACACGUAAAGUGAUUAAAAAUAAAACACUAGACAUAACGAUCAUUUUUAACGCAUAUUUUAAAAUAUUAAAAAUAAGUUAAAAAUAUUUUAGAAUUUCAAAUAGACUUUUGUUUUACAAAAAUCAAAUAACAAUUUUUAAAAAUUGUUUUUAAAAACUAUUUUUCAAAGUUGUUUUAAAAAACAAUUACCAAGCAAACCCUUAAUUUAAAAAUAUAUAUAUAUAUUUCCAAAUAAUAUAAAAAGCAACGACAUUUAUAUUAAGUGUGCAUUCAAACAAAGCAAUUUAAGAAGCUUCAUCCACUUGAGUAGCAAUGCUCAUUUUAAAAAUCUACAAGAAAAAGACACUCACUCAUUGAAGCUUGCAAUGUUAUAAUAUCCCAUGUAAGAACUCAGUGUUUCCCUUUUUUCUUUUCUUUUUUAAAAAAAAAAAAAAAAAAUCUUCUUUUCUUUCUAAAUCAGUUGUAUGCACAAAUCUUUUCAAUUAAUGCAGCAUAUAUCAACAAAAUAAUAUUGGAAAACAAAACCCACCAAAUACUAAUCCAAAAUCACUACAUAAUCAUCCAAUAAAUUUUUAAAAAAAUUUUACCAAACACUCAACCUUUGGAAAAAAAACGCUUCCAAGUAUUAAAUUACUCUCAACCAUACUCGUAUGGCAUAAUAUUGAUUUGGGUCAAUUACCAUAAUAAUCAGAGAUUGUUCUUCAUAUUCACAUAUAUGCUAAAACGAAAGAAAGAAAGAUGCUACAAAUUUUGAAAGAGACUCACUUGAUGCUCCAAAAUGGCAAUGGGAAACAUGCAUAAUAGAAUUCAAUAUCCUCUAGAACAAAACAACCCACUCAACACUUAGGAGAAUAAUCCUUAUACCUUUAGUAUGAAUGUUUUUUCCCUAGACUCUGCACAGCCUUACGUAUAUUGAAGACUGGUCUGCGCUCAAGCCCUUUUAAGGCCUUCUAUCUAAGCAUAUCAUAAGUGUCAACCUUUUUCUGGGCAACCCAACAACCAAGGAGAAAUUUGGGCUUUGAAAUUAUCCUGACUGGGGGGCAAAGAGUGGUGGCAAUUUUUGAAGAAAAACUGCACAUAAGGGAAUUGGACUUAGCUAUCAACAAGACUAGGGCACAUUCUGACACUAAACCAUAUCACAAACGACCUCUAAUCUAUAUUCAAGGUGUUCACAACCAGAUUAAGAAGCCUGCCAAAUUUAUCUGACAAAGUUUGGUUCUUCUAUCCGUAUAUCUAAAGGAACCAUGAAUUUAACAGAUCAACAAUGACAAGAUCCAUCCCUAGCUAAGGGCCUGAGUUAAUAAUGUCUAUCAAUAAAGACAUUAAAAAAAUUUGGGAAGCAAUAAGUAAGCCAUAACCACAGUUCAUAUUUAAACCACGAACAGUAAAUUUCUCUUUGUUGGACAGCAUGGAUGUUAUAUUUUCCUUUUAUAAAUCUCUAUACAAGAAAACAAAGUUACUCACAAUUAAAAGCCACACAACUCUAAAUCAGAACCCAAUGCAGACACAGCUAGAUCUGUUGUUUGGGAUCCUAUAUGCAGAUUACCACUAUAAAUGAUCAGAAAUUUGACCAACAAACGGCAAGAAAUAGGGUUAAUUCAUGUUCCAUGUGAACACAUGUAUUCAGACUCUGAAAUGAAGUCUGAAAUUGCAAAAUUAUAUUAGAACCCCUGGUCAAAUUCAACUUUACCUGCCUUUGCCCAGGCAUCCUGUGCACAGGAAUCCAAAUCUCUCCCGGAUAAGGAUUCAGAUUCUGGACCACAAAACACAGCACUUGAGACCAUUUUAUUCUCUGGAUUUUUCCAACACAAAUUAAAACAAAAGAAUCAUGGAGAAUGAAAAAUGCAUCAUAUGCCAAAAAUAGAUACAGUUUCUCAUACAAAAUGCUUCCUGCCAUUGACAAAUAAGAAGCAUGUACCUUGGCCAAAAGAAGCAAAUAAAGAAAGGAAAUUGUUUCAUUCCAUAAUGUAGAUUUCAACUCAGUCCACAGACCAACACAUGCCUAAGCACAAAUUCUACUAGACAAAGACCAUGGGAGCACAUUUUCCUCUUAAAUUGACAAGAAUAACACAGAAUAAGCAGCAUUCGGCACUUGUCAUAUAUAAUUUUAAAAGAAAAAUGUGGGCACUUGGACGAUUUAACAAAAAGAAUGGUCCUACAAAGUAUGGAAAGACAAGACAUGGUGUGCAACUGACAGCAAAUAGUUGGCACAAAGGCUUUUUUGAGUAUGUGCAAUCCAAGACAGCCUUCAAAGUCUUCAAUUCCUUCCAUUCUCAUAAUAUCAGUUUACCAUCCACAUAAUAAGCUUCAAAUUCAAGGACACAAGAAAAAUGAAGUGGCCCAAGAGACACAUAAACCCAAAAACCACAGAAAACAGCCUGUUAGUCUUUCUUUUAUGGACAAUGGAAUUAGAUUAAAUAAUGACAGGGAGUAACCUAGGUACACAUGAAAUAUACUUGGAUGACACCUAAUCAGACAAAACAUUCAAGGACAAAAAAGAAGAGAUGAUAGAUGUCCUUAUCCAUUAAUGCUACCCAAAGCUACUAAUGAAAUCCAUGAGUGAUCAUCUCCUUCAAGUAGAACCACCCUCUCUCGAAGCCAGUAGAAAGAACAGCAAUUGGUUCUUUAAUUUGUAAACUGUGCAUUCCAUUCCCUCAAAGGUCCUUCUAUUACUUCCUUUAAAAUAUCCAAACUUGGAGGAACAGUCCUUCACACCUUUCUCAUGCUUUCUUCUUCUAACAGGUAUUCUUCAUUCCAACCAGUGAGAACCCAAUCAAUCUGAAAUACAGCAAGCACCAUGGUCUAAAGCCUCCAGGAAACUGGGCAAUGAAUAAAUGAUCAACUGAUUCCACCUUCCUAUUGCACAAGCAAGACCCAGCAGGUAUGCUGCAAGCCUGCAACCUCUGGCCCUAAAAUGGUGAUUAGAAUUAUGUGCUCCUCGAUCCUAAAAAAUCCCUCACAAUGGUCCCAAACAUAACGACCUUUGGGUGAACAUGAAAAGUAGCUAUUGAGGCCUCAUUAUAUCCAGGAAUAGAAAACAACUCUGGAAACCUCACUUUAAGCAGAAAGUUGCCAUACCACAAGUCAUACCAAAAUUCAACUUUUGUCUGUUCAAAAGAAAGUGUGCGAACAUCUUGAAGUUUCUCCAGGUGAUGACACCAAAGUUGGCAAGAUGAGAGUAGAGAAGAAGUACAUUGGUAAGCUAUAAAACAUUCUUUGAAUCAAAGUAAUUUACCUCCUUUAGAGAAGGAAUACUGCCACAUGGCUAAUCUUUGCUUGAGUCUCUCUCUACAUGGGUAUAUCACACCAACAUGGCCCUGAACGAAGCUCCCACAGAAAGGAUAAGGCAAGAAGUAGACACCUACAAACCUGCAAUUCCAAGGUUACAGCCAUAGGGUCUACAUUUGCCAUGACCCACAAGAGUAAGCUCAGUCUUAUCUUCAUUAACCUUUGGUUCAGAAAGAGUCUCAAAACAAAGUAAUCCACAUCUAUGGUAUCCCAGUUGGCCUAAGUCUGAUUCACAAAAAUGGAAGGAGUCAUUAGCCUAAAUAACAGGUGAGAAAUGGUAAGCCUUCCUCAGCCCCCACUGAAACACUUGGAAUAAAUGACAUCCCACAGCCCUCUCAACCAGUCUACUGAGAGCUUCCAUCACAAAAAGGAACAAGCAAGCAGAAAGUCGAUCCCUUGCCAUAACCACUUACAGCUAUGAAACCUCUCUGAAACAUAGAACACAGCCAUCAAAUCCCCCUUCAGAGCUUCCCAAAUAUGCUGCCAAAAGGCAAUAAUUAAAGUGUUUGGAUUGGGAGCCCAAUCUCCAUUCAACUCACUAAGGACUGCCACUAGCUCGUCCUUUAUGAAGCCUCCCUCUGACAGUGAAUCUGAAGCUUAACCCAUCAAACCUCAGUCUCCAUCCCUGCUCUCCUUAAAGAGCCUCGAAAAAUGCUGAGGGAUCUCUAAAUCAAUCUCCUCCUCAUUGAAAAUGAUAAUCUCAAAUACAAUUAAAUCUUCUAUGCCCUUAGCUAGCCCAUGAAGGAAUCUGGUAUUUUCAAUCUUUGUCUUUAAACCAAAGGGCUCUAGACUUCUAAUGCCAACUAAUCUCUUCCAACUCUGACUUCCUAGGUUCAUCUUUUUCCAGCCACUUGCAUCCCAGAUCAACCUCUGGAAGACUCACAAUCAUUUAAUCCCAUUGCCUGGUAUUCUCAAGCACUCAAGAUUUGUGAACAGAAACUUUUCUGGAGUCUACCUUAUUCCACUUGUUCAGAAUCUUCUUCAAAGACUUUUUAACUUUCAAGCAAUCCAGAAACUAGGAUCACUGCGCCUCAUGGCUCUCCAAUACUAGUUCACUCUUUCUUCAAAUCCCUAUGCUUUUCUUUGGAUAGGUAAAGCAGGAGAGUAUUAUAAAAUAGAAAAGCCGUCAAGGCACUCCAAAGAAACAUAGGCAGUAUACAAUGAUCACCUAGAGGCACAACCAAAAGAAUAGAGGGGUUACAAAAAACCAUCCCCACCCUCAAUAAGAAUCCAACCAAUCGACAAAGUUAAUCAAAGACAAAGGACCAUCAUUCAUAAACAUCUUAGUCCAUGACCAAAAAUUACAAAGAAUGCUUUCAGCCUUUGGUUAGAUUGCUGCUUGAAUUCAAACAAUCUUUAGUUCCUCUUCCACACUGUGCAAAACAAAAUGCAUAUGGGAGCUGCUUGACGUGUCCUUUUUUUUCUUUUUUUAACCCAUGAAAGGGUCAUGUCAUCCUAAGAGGAUCUCUUUAACUAAUUGAGAAUAGCACCCCUGACACAUCGAAAAGGGAAAACGGCAUCUGCCAUAAAACCCUCAUCUUGACAUAGUGAAUAAGGAUAUGAUUAAUGGAUUUUUCCUUGUUAUAACAAAGGAAACAUCCAUCUGUCAAAAACUGUCUCCUCUUUUUUUUAAACAAAAACAUAUAUUAAGAAAUGCCAAAAACAGAGGGUGCACCUUAUGCAUACAAGAAGUAUGCACAAAACAUCCCAAAACAAGCACCAAACAUAAACAAAGUUAGCCUACAAAAACAAGGCAAGCUAACCACAAGGAAGAGCAUCUAAGAAAUCCAAAACAGAGGGUUUCUCCAUUUCCAAUGAAGCAUGAGACCACUCAAAUAGUGAUUUAAUAAAGAAAUCUUUCGAUUGUGCUCUUUCUAAAUACAUGAAAAUAAGCAAAUCAAAGCCAUAUGCCAAACUACUUUGCUCUUCUUAUCUAGCAUCUCAAAUUUCCAUUCAAGAGGGAGAUUUCUAAUUGAAACUAGAACACCCAUUUCAAGCCAAAGGCUGCUAACAAAGAAGUCCAUAGCACCUAAUUCAACUCCCUCCUUUGUAAUUGAUCCAAUAUCUUCCCUCACAUGGCCUCCCAAGCAACAAAACCCACUUUUGGCGGCACCCAUGAAUUCCAUAUAAUGCCCACCAAGAAAGAUAACGAACUCCCCAAAACUUGUCACUCUUUGACUGUGUCCAAAUUACUCUAUCUUCCUCUUCCCUAUGUGCUCUCUUUCCUUGCAGAACCGCUCCACAUUUUCCAUCCUCUACUUUCACCUACAUCUUUUCAAUUUAAAUGGAAUCUUUUGCCUCAUCUUAAACCAUCACUACCAAGGAGGGGAAAUACGUGAUCUGAAACUGGCCUAGGCAAUAUACACUGACUAACAUACAGAAGUGAUCCUUCUCAUUAGAUUAAAAUAAAUAAAAAAUAAUUACACUGAUCAAUUUGGAACAUUCAAAGUAGAUCUAGAUUGGUUGACCCUGUAGAGCUCCCUCAAACUGAUGGCAAAUCCAGCAAACCAAAGAAACAAAUGAAACCUGAAAAUAUUCUCUUAGAUGGAGAAAUGCAAGAACAAUUUCUCUUCUCAUGUGCUGUUGUCCUCCCUUCCCUGAAGCCAAGGGUCUCCCAAACGCCUCUAAUGGCUUCCAGUUUGUCUCAGAACCGCCAUCCCUUCCCUACCAAGGUCCACAAAACCCAAAUAAAACUAGUCUCUACAUUUUUAAAUGUGCAAGACAUCAAAUAAGCCACAGUGUCCCCUUCCAAAUUCUACAGACCUCUUCUAUCCAACAAAACUAGGAUCCCACCAACACCCCAAAAGCUGCCAAAGAGGCCCAACUCAAAAAUCCAAACAGAGAUUGAGCUCUCAAAACAGAGGAAGGAAAACCCCUGCAAGCAGAAGAAUAGGAGCAUUUCCUAUGUAACAAAAUCUAAGGCAGUGAGCUCAUGUUUCUUGCAUCACAUACUCUAAUGUCCAGUACCCAUAAGCAGAUCUCACAAUCACAAAAUCCAUCACCUCAUAUUCAAUUUCAUAAAAAAUAAAAAUAAAAAUAAAAAUCUCAUUCUAGAAAUUCUUUCAUAAGAUUAAAAAUCCAAAAACUAAAAUAAAACUAAAAAUGUGUCAACUAAAUUCCACCCACAUUUCAUUUGUUAACUCUGUCUUACUUUCCAGAGGUUCCCACCAACCAUUCGGUGUUCUACUAAAUUUAUAUAUAGAAAAAGGUCACAUUCCAGACAAAAGUCAAAGCCCAUAAUUCCCUAAAUUCAUUCAUAACAACAAAAGAAUCAUCAAUGAAAUAGGCAGCGAUCUUAAUGCCAAUGAAGAACAUAAUGAAUGACUACAUGUUUUAAUGCAUGUCUAUCAGUGAUCAAUAUCAAAAUUCUCAUUAAAAACCACUUACCCACUGUUUGGUGUUCUGAGAAGAUUCACCCACAUUUCAAUUGUUAAUUCAUUUUACUUUCCAUCAGUUAAUUAGCAACCAUAUGGCGUUUUCCUAUUUAUAUAUACUCAUACGAAGAUCCAAAUCACAAAAUCCACAACCUCACUGUAACUGCUACUAAAUCGGAAAACAUCCAAUAACAUACAAAAAAAAAAACUCCUGAUUUCACAAAUCUAAUCAUAAGAUUAAACCCACAAUCACCAACCAAAUCAAUGAAGAUAAGCUGGGAUCUUAAUACGAAUGAAGAGCAUACUCAUAACAUACGCAAUCACCACCGACGCCACGCCGGCCGAGGCGAACGACACCUUCACGCUCUUCGCCCUGUUUCGAUCCAGAGCGAGGUCCAUCAGGACGAUGCCAAUGCCACCGAGGACGAACAUGAAGCCGGAGGAGAGGCCCUCGAUGAUGUACUGGCCGUUGACACGGCCGGGAAGGAAGACGACGGGACGGACGGCACCGGUGUGGCGGUCCUGGGAUGAGCCGAUGCCGGGAGGCUCGACGAUGACGUCAUAGACGAUUCCGGAGACCACCAUGAAGUAAGUGAGGAGGAGGAGGGCGUAGACGGUCAUGGGGGAGGGGAGGGAGAGCGACGGCAGCUUCAGGCGGAGCCGCGGCGGGUGGAGGAAGCUGAAUGGGAGGACCUUGAGGAUGUGGAAGAUUGGAUCCAUGGAUGUAGCAACGGUGGUGGAGUCGGCUGCUAGGGUUUCUGAUUUGGGAGCCAUUGGCGCUCUGUGUUAGAAAAUGGAUCUCUCUCUCCUCCGUGGUCUUGUACACUAGAUGACAUUAAAAAUAAAAAAAUAAAAAAAUAAACAAAAUUUUUUAAAAAAAAUUAAAAAAAAAAAAGACGAAAAUUACAAUAAAAUAUAAUUUUCCAGGUUAAUUAAUUAAAACUUAAAUUUAAAUCAAAUUAAGAUUAAUUUACAAAGUACACCAAAUACAAGUCAAAUUUAAGUCUUCAACCUAAUUGAUUUUUAAAAGUUAUUUAAAAUUCAUCCAGAUUUUAAGUCUGGAAUAUAUUUAAAAUAUUUAGUCCAAAAUAGGAUCAACAUAUUUAAAUAAAUCAUUAAAUAAUUAUAAAUCAUAAAAAUAUAAGUUUUAAAUAUCGAUUUAGUUCAAUUGUGUUGGUUAAUGAAAUUUUCAAAUAGACUAACCUAAUCGGUUUCAAUAAUGUUAAAAUUGUCCAAGCUUUAUAAUUGUUGAAAAUCAAAUUAAACAAGUCAGUUUUCAUGGUUCCCAAAUUGAAUCGACCUUUAUGAUAGUUGAAAAUCGAAUUGCUUUUAUGUUUUUGGUUAACUUCUAUCGAUUUUUACUAAUUUUUUAGUUUUCACUUACACUCAUAAAAAUCCUUAAUAUUAACAUAGAAAUAAUAUUUAAUAAACAUAUUAGGAGCGGGCCUCACUAGUAGGACUUAAAGGGCAAGUUUUAACAUUAUGAUGAAAUUUGGAGUGAAACUCAACCCCGAUAACUACAUUUUUAGGAUCAAGAGUUGAAAUUUUUUUGUUACAUAGUAAGCUAAAGAGGGAUUAAUGUAAAUCUAGAGCAAAUACAAAUAAUAUUAGGAAUGUCCUUUCCCAUGAAAGUCAAGGGCCUUUAAUGCUUAAUUGAUCGAAUAACAACCUUUAGCAAAUUUAUCUCAAAGUGCUCAUAUAGUUGUUCUCCAUUCUACAAAGUUGCUUAGUAAGAAGUAUAGUAUGGAAUGGACGUUUAGAUGUGACGAAGCCUCUUAACAACUAAAGACAUCGUCAUAACAUUGUUAAUUUUGUCAUUUUCUAUGGUUAGGGAGAAGCUCUCUUUAUACUUGGUGGCAUCUAGCACAACCAUUGUUCUUACUAAGGAAGAUAACUAGUUACAUUUGCCAAUUUAUCAUAUGAGCAAGGUUCUGAGUGAUGUAGAGACAAUGUACUCACCCUUGGAGAAAAUAAACAUUUGCCCAUGUAGGAAAACUACGUCCUUAUUUCCAAACUUAUACAAUGACAAUCUUAAUGGAGCAUCCAUUGAGAAUAGUACUAUAGAAUCUUGACAUGUUAAGCAAACGAAUAAGGUGGUUAAGUGAGCUUGGAGAAUUCAAGGUUCUCUAUAAGCAUAAAUGUGCAAUAAAGAGUUAGGUGUUGAUUGAUUUUGCAAUAGAGAUAGGUGAAGACUAAAAUGGGUGGACUCUAAAUCGGUGAGUGAUUUUGGAACCUCCCGAAUGAUGGAUCCACUUUGCAUAAAAGAUUAGGCAUGGUGAUUGUUUUAAUGAGUCCCAAUAAGAUAAUUCUAGAAUGAACAUUGAAAAUAAAGUUUGAUGAAGUAAAGUAUAAAUCAUUUAUCAUGGAAUAACAAAUGACACUCAAGCUGCAAGUAAAAAACAUUAAGGUUUAGAGUGACUUUAAGCUUGUCAUUGAGCAGGUGUUAAACUAAUUUUAAGUUAAAGAUUCUAGGAUAUUGAAUACCAAUGGAAACCAAAGGAAGUCAUGUAGAAAUUUUUCAAGAUAGAAAUACAACAAUGCCCUUAGAAGAUAACCAAGAUUGAUGUACACAUCAUCUUCCACUACCUUACAUCAGCUGAUCGAGUUAUAAGUUUGAUAAUGAAACAAUAUUGGUAGAAGCAUAUGUGACAAAUGACUUGAAUGAGAAGAGUAUACCUAUAAUCUAUAUUUUAAAAGAUGGUACUCUCCCCCUAACAAAUUAGAGGCACAUAAACUAAAGAUAAAGUAUAUCUGAUAUGCUUUAAUAUAAAAUAUAUUGUAUCACCAUUCCUUUUUGGGCUCGUAUCUCCAAUGUUUGAGAGAGAAGCAUAUGUUAUGUUAAGAUAAAUUCAAGUGUUUACAAGACCCACGUUGGCGACACAUGGCCAAUACCCCCUCCCCCCUCUCUCUCACUCUCUUUCUUUUCCUCUCUCACAUCCUAAUUUAUUUUUCAUUUUUUUGAUAAAUUUAAUUUAAUUUUUUUAUUAUUUAUUUAUUUAAUUUUUUUAUUUUCUGUAAUUUUUUAAAAUUUGUGUUGGAUGUUCUAUUAAAUAAUUUGUUUUUUUAAAUGAUGGUUUCUCAUCAAUUUUGAGAUGUUUAAACAUUUUGGAUUUAAUAUUUAAUUAAAUAACAGUUAAUCUACAAUGACACUUAAUUACCAUAUUAUAGAUAAUUUUUCAACAAAAAUUUCAUCACUCUUAAUUGAUUUAUAUUAGUUAUUUAAAGGAAUCAUUUAAUUGAUUAAGAAAAUUCAAGAUUUUUUCCUAUAAAAUUUACGAAAAUUCUUGAAAAUUUUCCAAUGAAAAUUCUUGUUGUUUUUCUAAUUCCUUCAAAAGUUUUAAAUGUUUUUAUAAAAUUUUGAACUUUUUUAUUUAUUUAUGUUUUCAUGUCUUAAUUGAAUGAUUUGAUAUAAUGUAUAUUUUUCUUUCAUUUAAUAUCAAAGACAUCGAAUUAUUUAAUUUAGUGUAUGUUCGGAUGUAGUUCUUAUUUUCUAUUUUUUAAAACAAAAAAUAGCAAUAACUUCUAAUAUAAGAACUUUUGGAGGUUCAUAUUGAGAAUUUAAUAGUUUUUAAAAAUUAAUUAAAAAAUGUUGAAGUAUUAAAAAAAAUUUUACUAUCUCAUAUUUAAAAAAAUUUUGAAAUAAUUUUCAAGGAUACAAUUGUUCCUAAUUAACCCCUCACCCUACUUGACAAUUUUUGGCUUUGCCAGUACUAAAAGGCGAUGUCUAGCUAUCUGUAAUUUCAUAUUGGAUAGGAAAGAAAGUUCUUAAGGUUAUAUAAGUAUGAGUUCCUCUUAAUCAUAUGAGUAUAUUUUAAAGUCAUGAGGGCCCCUUUUGGGCCUAGAGCAGAUAAUAUCUACAUGGUUGGAUGUGAGUCAAUACAAAUGGUAUCAGAAUUGAUUCAUAGCCCUGGUGUGAGAGUUUGUUUGACCUAACAAUCCUAUGAGACACAAAAAGGACGUUGUGUUUGUAUGAAGAGUGAAUGAGGUUGAUUGUGAUAUUUCACAUUGAAUGAAGGAGAAAAUUCUUGGGGUUAUAUAAGUAUAAGCUCUCUUAACCACAUAGAUCCGUUUUGAAGUUGUGAUGAUGCAUUUGGCCUCAGAGCAAAUAAUACCUAUACAAUUGGAUGCAAUUCAUUACACUGGCACAUAAAGCAAUUAUUAAAAGGUUACUUUUGGAUGCAUAUGCAGCGUGAGACACACUAGUUUGUUAAAGAGUUGUGUCUCCUAUUAAAGAUAUACACUACUAAUACAUCAAUGGUCAAAUAACUAGCCCUUGGCCUUUUGCCCGAUGGGUGAUCAACAGAAUAUGGCCAUUGCCUCAAGCCCUAGGUCAAAAAUACUUUUAUUUGGUUUAUCUAUGAAAAAGUUGAGAAAAAAAAAAAUUAAAGUAGGAAUAUAUCUUAUCUGAACUUUUCUACCUUUCUUUAUGAAAAGAAGGAAGAAAACCUUUUAAUAUCAUUCACCAUCUUUUCAUUAACAUUUUGGUUUUUAUCUUUUUCUAUAGUAUCCAAUAUAUAUGAGAAAAUGAUUUUUGUUAACAUCUUUUUUAGAAGACCAAACAUAGUCUUAUGUUCCAAACUCCUAUGGAUCAUCUUAUUUUUCUUAACAUUUUUUUAAAUUUUUUUAUAUUAUCUAAAUAUAAGAAAAUGAGUUUUUCUUAAUAUAUUUUUUAGGUCAUGUUUAAUUUCUGAACAAAAAGUAUAAGAGAGAAAAAGUAAAAGAAAAAAAAAAUUUUAAAUCAAUAGAUUAUUUUUGUAUUCUACUUUAAAUAUUUAAAAAAAUUAUUAUCUUUCAUUUCUUUUUUAUUUUCCUGAAACCAAACACAAGAUUCAAAGACGAAACAUAGCACUACAUUCGAAAUUCUUAAGCAAAAUCCAAUAGUCUUCUCUCGGCAUUCAUUCAUCAGCAACUUUCACCACCUUUUUCCCAACGUUAUCUCCACGAAAGAGUCCUACGAAAGCAGAUGGAAUACUCUCCACACCCUGGGAGAUAUCUUCAAGUACAUGAAUUUUGUCAGUGCUGAGGUGAUUCGACAUUGUUGAAAUGAAAUCAUCCAUCCCCUUCAAGUAAUCAAUCACCAAGAACCCUUGGACCUUGAGUCUCUUGUACACAAUAUCAAUCAUAUCUGGUGCAACUCGCUCUCCAAUCCCUGUAUAUUCUGAGAUUAUUCCACAAACAGCAAUUCUACCAAAGGGAUUCAUGUUAGCCACCGAUGCUUCCAACAUCUUGCCUCCCACGUUAUCAAAAUAUAUAUCAAUCCCAUCAGGGAAGUACCUAUAGGAACAAAUUAACCAAUGAAUCACCUUCCAAAUGACCAUUCCUAUGAUGAAGUUUUUGAACACAUGGUUUCAUUUAUAAGGUUUUAACCAUUUCAUUUGAAAAUCAAUGAUAUCAUACACCAUAAGUCUAUCCUAAAAGAUGACAUUUAGUAACCAGUCGUCUAGUUUAAGAGAGGCCUAAUAUGACACUUUAGUUACUUGAACUCAUGACUUUUACUCUAGUACCAAUUUUUGGAUUGGGUUUUAACUAUCUCAUCUGAAAACCAAUUAAUAUUCAAUAAGAGUAGGUCAAACAUUUUAUGAAAUUUGAUAUCUUAUUUGAAAAUCAAUUAGUAUUCAAACAUUUUAUGACAUUCAAUAUUAGACUUUGCAAACCUGUUUUAAAAAAUAAUAUUUGGCGACCUAUCCCAAAACUUAAGAGCGACCCAAGAUGAAACUCCAAUGACUUGAACCCAUGAUCCUAACUCUAUUAUCGAAUUUUUGAUCAAACUUUCACCAUCUCAUCUAAAAACCGUAUCCAAUGAGGGUAAAUCAAACAUUUUAUGAAAUUCGAUAUCACACCUUCUAAACUUGUUCUAAUAACUAUCAUUUGGAUUACCUGUCCUCGAAUUUAAGAGCAUCAUUAUUACACCUUGAUAAUGUUACUGUAACUACCUUUUGAGAGUAGACUUCAGAUCGGCUUCCUCCUUGUAGUUGAAUGCAUCAUCAAAACCGAGCUUCCCUUUUAGCAACUCAACCUAUAAUUCAAUUUUUUGACAGAAUUGUAUAAGAAUAUGGUUUGAUAUAUAGUGAAGGAGAAGUGGAAGAAGCUAGCCUUUUGUUUUGUUCCAGCACAGCCCACAACAUGGCAGCCGAAGAGCUUGGCAUAUUGUCCCACCAAAUUUCCAACUGAUCCACAAGCAGCUGAUACAAAUACUUUCUCCCCCUUCUUAGGUUUACAUACUUCGAAGAAACCGCCAUACGCUGUUAGCCCACUAAGCCCUGCAAUCAACACUAGUUUUCAAUUCCACUUGAAAAUACGAAGGAUAAGAAUAAUAAUUGGGGUUGUAAGUUGUCUAAAUCAUAUCGGAUUUGUGACUAACUCAAGUUUAAUUUGAAUUGAACCCGAUCUCUAAUGAAAGGUACUUAAUCAAGUUAACUUCACGUCAAAUUUGAACUAAACUCAAUUGACUGCUUGAGUUAAGACUCAAAUUUAUUGUAUUAAUCAAAUUAGUCUAUAAUUUUUUUUAAAUUAUUGAAUUUUCAUAGUCGUCUUCGAAUUUGGCUGAAUUGAAACUCUUAAUAAUGAUUUUUUUUAACAAGAAAAUGAGAUAGUGUUUUAUAUAUAUAAUUAAAUUAAUUUAAUAUUUUUUAAAAUUAACUAAAAAGGCACAUAUAAAAUGAAUAUUGCUAUAUAUUAUAAUAAGUAUUUUUAAAAAGUAUUAAAUUAGACUCAGGCUAAGUUGAAAUUACCUAAAUUCUUGACCCAAUUGAACCCGAAUAUUUAAAAUGAUGGUCCAAACUAUAAGAAAUUGGAUUUGCAAUAAGCUUUCUUUUCAUUAUUCUAUAUCUUUCUGCACUAUUACAACCUAUUUAUAUAUUUUUUGAAGAGAAGAUAAUUAAGUAACAAUUUACAAGUAUGUUAGUUAAGCUAUAACAAAAUAACAAACUGGACUAUUAUCUAAUACAGAUGAGGAGUAUUCUGGUGCAGUUUGGUAAUUAGUUUUGAGACUGCUACGAGGUUCAUCACAAACCAUUCAAACUCUUUGCCUAAGAAUGAUGUGAUGAGAGAUUUUGCAAGAAUAGAGGAGCAAACAUACCGAGAACUCCAAGGUGGUAAGAGAGAGGAAAUCCCAUGGGAUCCAACUUCCUGAAGGUGUUACCUCCUUUGACGAUGGUAUACUCUUCCCAAUUGAUAAGCCCCACAACUAAAUCAUCCUUCUCAAACUCAGGGUUUCCAGAAGCCAUAACUCUCCCAAUACCAUUAGCACUAAUGGCCUGCACAUUUUUAUUAGUUGCCUCUUAGACUAUGCUAGCCAAUUGAAGAACAUCAAACAGGAACUGCACAAUGUUGGAAUGUUUGGAGACUUCAAGCAUCAAAUUAUGUAAAGGUCUACCCGUUUUUUCAAGGUGAGAGCGUGUUUCGAUUUAGUUCCUAAAACUUUUUUAAGCAUAGAUAUAUUUUGGUAGAAAAAAAAAAAAAAACUAAGGAUAUGUUUAAGACUAUUUUUUAGAACAAUUUUCUAUUAUUUAAAACAAAAAAACAACAAAAAACAAGAAAAACAUGUUAAACGACCAAAAAUUGCUUUCUAUUUUUUUUCUUAAGAAUAUAUAAUAUGGUGUUAAUUAAUAGAGAAUAUUUUUUAACUGUUUUUAUUUCAUUUCACUUAUUCCGUGAGAGUUAUUUUAAAAAAUAAUUAUACAAAAAAUAAAAUGAUUAAAAAUAAAAUAUAAUAUAUAAAUUUUAUUUUUAAAAUAUUAAAAACAUUUCAGGUUUCAAACAAAUUUUUAUUUUAUAAAAUAUCAUAAAACAGUUUUUUAAAACACAAAACAAACCCUAAUGUUACAAGCAUAUACAUGUUUAGAAGUUUUCCAUUUUUUACUAAAAUUCUUAUUCUAAUGACUUAUUUGAUACUUAAGCAUAAUUGAGGAUUAAUAUUGUUUGAAAUAUUAUUUGAAAGUAAAUUGAGCCGCAAGUCAAAGUUCAUCAAAAAUUCAUUUUUGUAGUUUAUUUUUAAAAAAAAUUAAGAUGAUUUUACCUAUAAAGUGAUAUCCAAACUCUUCUACAUCAUAGAAAAAUAAAAGUUUGUCUUCUUUGCCUUUAUACUAAAAUAGUAUGAAAUGUUCAAAGAAUAAAAUCAUAGACUAUUUUAGUCUAACCUUGAUCUGAAAUAAUUAGUCAACCAUGUGAAACCAAAUCCCAAAGAAAAAUCUAAAAAAGAUUUACACCCUGACGAGCUCACCUGGCCAGGAGUUAUGCCAUCUGCAGUACUAACAAGUUUCUGCGAAGAGCAAACUCUCUUCAUUCGAUUGAUCUGGUACGGAUCGAUGGAAACAUAGAGAUUUUUCACUAUCACAUCUUUCGAACCCGGCUCCACAGAUAGAUGUAAAGCCGCAGUCUUGAGCUCAAAGUCGGAUUCCUGAGGUGAUGAUCCAUCAAUGUGGGUCUUAACUGUUACAUAUUUGUUGGUGACCUCCAUUGUUGUCUAGCCUUUCAGAUUUGUUAGACAGAAGCUCGCUCAUUCGAUGAGAGAAGCGUAGGGCAGAAUGAUUGAGACUGAUGAAGUGUCCUUGUAUGUUUGGAUAUUUUGAAUGUAAGACCAUUUUAGAUCUCUGUGUGGUCCAUAUAUUUUCUGUGGUCAUCAUGUCCUUAGUAAGGCGGGCCAAAAUGGGUAGUCUGAAUAAGUAUUAUUUUCAUUAAAAAAUGAAGAAACAUUUAUAUAAUGAAAAUUAUGAAAAAGUAUUAUUUUUUUUAAAUUAUUUGAAAAAGAAAAAAUACAAUUCUUAAUCUCUAACAACGUCUUGUAAGCAUAUAUUUCAUGUAUAUUACCAAAAAGUCAUCAUUGUCAUUGAACAAGUUUUACUUAUAAUUUGAGAAGUUUUCUAUGCCCUAUCAAUAAAAUUCGACCCUAACACAAUUUUUAUAAAUUUAAAUUAAGUACUGACUUAUAUGAUCUGUUUAAUAAACACGUUAGUUUUCAAUCUACUUACAUUUCCUUAAUUAACUAGUUUAAAUAAUUGUAUUGGUUAACCUAAAUCUAACUUAUAACAUAUUUAACCUACAUUUGAUCUAUUUUAAAUUUAAUUUUAAAUAAAUAAGUUAAUUGAGUCAUGAACAUAUUACAUCGAGAGGUAAUUCAUAUUGAUUCAAACGAGAGCAAACUUGACUUGAUUAUUAAAUAAAUAUAUGAAUAUAUAUUUUCAAUAAUUAGGUCAUAUUUUAAUACUUCUUUUAACUAAAUUAUAAAUCUUAUUGUAUUUAAAUGAAGUUAUUUAAUUGAGUACGUGAAUUUUCACCUCUAUCUUAAAAGUCUUGUUACUUGAUAAGACCUUUUUUACCAUCCAUAAUCCGAUAAGAUCAUUAUACUUCAUGAUUGGAAUAGGGUAAAUUAACAUUUGUCUAUUCUUAUCCAAUCCCUAAUUGGUAGGUGUUGAUGAAUGACCUAAUAUAAUUAAGAGUUCAUUUGACAGUAAUUUAAGUAAAACGUUUUUAGCUUAAAAAGUGUUUUUGAAAAAAAAUUAGAUAUUUGACAAAUUUUAAGAAAUACUUUCAAAAAUCUGAAAAAUCAUUUAUAGUAUUGAAAAAUUAUUUGUAAUAUUUUCUAGAGAAACAUUUCAUAAAUGAUUUUUCUAAAAACGUUUUUAAAGAAAACACUUUGAAUAAAAACACUAUCAAAUACUUUGAAUGAAAACCUCAAUCCAAUUGAUGAAAGUUUCUCUCAACUUUCUAAAAGUUGGAUCAAUCUUGAAAUAGAGCAUUAAAAAUACUUAGCUAAAAACAAGUUGCCCAAGACUUCCAAAAAUUCUUUAAAAACUUUAUCAAGAUAAUCCUUAUUUUGAAAAUUUCAUAUUGAUUAAAUUUCAUCUCUUUGGCCAUCACCUCAACUACAUACCUUAGUCUCUUAAACAUUUUCAACACAUCGUACUUCAUUAUACGAGUAAUCCAAAAGAGGAUUCGAAAGACCCGAGCUAAAUGUACAUUUGGGAAUUUUUGACCUUGAAUUACCAACAUAUGUGAAACACUCACAACAACAAUCAAAUUUUAGUUUAAGAUUUGAAAAUCAAUUUUUAAAAAUUUCAAUCACAACAAAUAAAAUAAAAUAAAAUAAAAUAAAUAAACCAACUACACCAUAUAGUCCUAAUGCUACUACUCAAAAUUCUUAUUGAAGAGGAAUCGAUAUCCUUAAUAUUCAUCCAUCUGCAAUUUUCACCAUUUUCUUUCAUAGAUAGGUAGAGUCCGAUCCGGGUCACCAUCUAAGCCAGGAUAGUUAUCAAACCAUCAUUGAAUUGACAAACCAGUAGUUGAACCGUUGACUUGAUGAACUAGUUUGCUGGUUCUACCUUGAAUCCCCUUCAAUUUUUGUCAAAACGGGCCCAGCUUAAUGGGCCUCAGUCUUAGAAGCCCAACUAUCUGUUGGACCUCAUGCUUCUUGCAAUGUUUGCAAUUCCACUGGGCUACUUUUUAACUUGUAUUUAGUAUUGCAAACCAAAAAAUAAUACAACAUAAUUCUUUUCAAAAUAUUUAUAAUAAUGAAAGUGUAAAUAAUAUAAUUUUUUUAAAUAAUAAAAUAAUAGCCAUAUAAAUUUUAAUAUGUAGGUAAAAUUAAUUAAAUUUUAAUAAAUAUCUUCACAUAUAUUAUAUAUCUUUUAUUUAAUAAAAUGUUAAAAUAUUAAUAUAUGUAUAUAUUUAUUUGAUAAUAUUAAAAAAUGAAAAACUAAAUAUUAUUUAUUUUUAUUUUCUUUAUAUUAUAUACUUAAAUUUUUUAUAAGUAAUUUUAAUUUUAAUAAUACAUAAAUUAUAUAUUUAUAACCUUACUAGUUGGACCGUGGUUGAUUGUUAUGACAAUUGAACUAUGAAAUGACAACUUUUUGGAUUUAAUAAUGACUAGUUGGUUUUGAAAAUAUUGGUCAUUCUAUAUAAAGGAUAAAACAUGACCAAUAAAUUUUUUAAAAAAAAAUUGAUUGAUUUUUCUUACUUUCCUAAUCUUCACUCUAUUUCUUUUUCUGUUGCUUUCUUGCAUAUAUUUGGAAAAAACUUGCAUAAUUUUACCUACACUAGUCACUAUACUUGGAACAUAAACAAUCCUAGAUCAUGAAUCAUAUGUUAAUUAAUGUUGCUCUUGUUUUUUUGCUAACUAACAAAUCAAAUAAUACAAUUAAUCCAAAAAAAUUUCUUAUGACUAUGUUUGGUUCCAUAAAUUUUGAGAAAAAAUAUAAGAAAGAAAAACAUACAAGAAAAAUGAAAAAUACUUGUUUCAAGUUAAAAUCAAACCUUUUCUAAUCUACACAUUCCACCUAAAUGGACCGUUUUUUUCGCCACUUAUGGUGGAAUCUUAUGUACAAGCUUGAGCUAGUUUGGUUUAAGAAUUGAUUGUUAAUUGCAUAAUCAAAAAACAGAAUAAAAGGAGUAGAAGUGAAGGAAAAUUCUCAAUUUGGUAUGGUUUUCACAAAGCCAAAAUUUAAUGGUAGUUGGGGAGUAAGCAUUAGGUACCAUGCAAUUAAUCAAGAUUCUAUGAAGCACACUAUUUGAGGAAUUAGAGUGGUGACAUAAUGUUUUUCUUGUAGAGCAUACAUCACCAAUUUGGAUAAGCAUACAAAAUUGAAAAUGAGCUGCAAAUUGGAAAGUUAUUUGGGUAAAUUUCAAAUUGGUUGAGAUUAAAAAUUACAUCCAUGAAUCAUCCCAUUCAAAUACUUAAAUGGUAUCCCAUACCAUAGUGAUGACCAACCAUACCAUUUUUGAAGAAUUUUGUUGAGUGAAUUAUUUUUUAAUAUUUUCAUUAUUUAGAAAAAAUAAAAACCAAACACUUUUUAUGUACAUCUUGUCCUUCAAUGAUGAAAUUACAUAAGUGAGAAUAGCCAUUGAUGAAAUGAUUUAUUGACUCACAAUUUGUGGAGUCAUCAUUUUAUGGACUGAAUCCUUUUGGUUUGCAAACCAGUGGUUUAUUUUUUGAAAAUUCUUUUUUAUUGAUUAUUUUAUUUAAAAUUAUUUCUUAUUUUAUUUAUUCAUUUAUUCUAAAAAAAUAGAAAAAUAAAGUUCAUAAAAUAAUAAUGGAUUCCAAGAUGGGAUUUACUUAGUGGGAAGGUGUUAGAGACAUCAAUAAAUCCGAAAAUAUUUGAAAAUGAUAGAGUUGUAUUUGACUUUUGGAAAAUUAGAACAUUUUUAGUCUUUUUAACAUUUGAAUCAUAAAAAUUUUUAAAUGUUAAAAAAUUUAAAAAUACUUCUUAAAAUUACUGUUAAAUGAGUUUUUAGUAUAUAUGAUGUUUCCUAAAGACUCAAUACUAAAACAAAAAUAAAAUAAAUAGAAUGCCUAUGUGGAAGUAAUAGCCCAAUAAAAAAUGUUUGUUUCUAAUUUCCUCCUAACCAUCCAUGUAGCUCUAAUUUAUUUUUAUAGAAAGAACAACGCUUUUAUUCCCACUAUGAGAUGUGAACACAUUUCAAGCUUAUAGAAAAAGUAAAAAUAGUGGGAAAAAAAAAAGGAAUAAAUAUGGCUUUCUAUUUGAAAGUGAAAAAUGUUGAACGCAUCACAAUGUGAUUUUUUUUGUUUCCUUAUUUUUAGGAUUUAUUUUUUAGACAAUAAUAAUAAUAUAAAUGGGUUUUGGUAGCUGAGCAACCUUCCAUGAUUAAGCCUUUAUUCCUCUCCGUGAUGACCCAAACCUCGGGGUGCUCAGUGUCCUGCAAUAACCAAAGUUAUAAAAAUAGUUAAUACUUCAUUCAGAUAUACUUUUUGUUUUUUGUUUUUAAAAUAGAAAAUUUUAUAUAAGAAGUAAAAAACUUUUAUGCAAAAAAGUUUUGACUUACCUUAUCUAUUCUUGAAAAUUACUUUCAAAAUUUUAAAAUUUGAGAUAGUAAAAUUUUUUAAUACCUCAAUAUUUUUUAUUCAGCUUUUAAAAACUACUAAAUUUUCACUAUAAACCUCCAAAAGUUUUUAUAUUAAAAGUUACUACUAUUUUUUGUUUAAAAAAAAUAGAAAAUAGGAACUACAUCCAAAUAGACACUAAAUUAAAUAAUUUUAUGCCUUCAAUAUUAAAUAAAAGAAAAAUAUACACUUUAUCAAAUCAUUCAAUUAAGACAUGAAAACAUAAGUAAAGAAGGUUCAAAAUUUUAUAAAAACAUUUAAAAAAUUUAAAGGAAUUAGAAAAAGAAUUAGAAAAACAACAAGAAUUUUCUUUGGAAAAUUUCAAGAAUUUCCAUAAAUUUUAUAGAAAAAAAUCUUGAAUUUCCUCAAACAAUUAAAUAAUUCUUUUAAUAUUUUUCUUCAAAUAACUAAUAUAAAUAAAUUAAGAGUGAUGAAUUUUUUUUUGGAAGAAUAAUCUACAACAUGGUAAUUAAGUGUCAUUGUAGAUUCACUUUUAUUUAAUUAAAUAUCAAAUCCAAAAUGUUUAAACAUCUAAAAAUUGAUGAGAAACCAUCAUUUGAAAAAAAAUAUUUAAUAGAACAUCAAACACAAAUUUGUUUUUUGUUUUUAAAAUAGAAAUUUUUAUAUAAGAAUGAGGAUCCCAAACAACAAUGGUAAUGAUGAGUGAUGAGUUAUUAUAUUUAGAACUCCCAUGGAGUCCAACUUCUUCAACAUGUUACCUCCUUUUAUUGAACCAUACUCUUCCCGAUGAUCAAGUCAUCUUUUCUCCAACAGAAAAGACAAUUCUCGAAAUACCAAGAGCAUAUCAAUGGCUUUACAAGUCCAUAUAAGUUUGUUCAACUACCAAUUUCCCUAAAAGUUUGAACUCACAAGAUUUGAACUUAGCACCUUUUGAGAUAUUGAAAAACACAAUAUGAUAAAAGUUGUAAGUUGUGUUCGAGAGAAAGUUAUUGUCUAUUGUUAGACUCUAUGGUAGAAUCAAGGGGCCUAAGAAGUGGUGGUUUACCCUAUGGUAAAUGUUUCCAACUCAUGAACUUAGUUGAUAUGAAGUUAUAUGAUAAUACCCAAUUUUUCUAAUUCAACUGUUUGAUCUAUGAUUUAUCAUUUAUGGACGUUGAUAAAAUCCUUUCAUUUAGCAAUACCUUAGGACGAUAUAACCUUAAAUUAAAGUUAGGCAAGGUUUAAACGAGGUGUAGUAAGCAACAAAAUGGUUCAGGGAGUUGAAAAUAAGUAUAGAGACAAAGACAAACAAGAAGGGGAUUGAAAUACCUUCCAUCAAAUCAAGUUUUGAUACCAUAUUGAAUUACUAAUUUUCCUAAAAGUUUACACUAACUAGAUUUGAGCUUAUAUAUACAUAUCAUGCUCCUUAACAAAAUUAACUUCAAUAUUGUAGACCAUCAAGAAAACCUAUAUAAAAACCAUGAAAAUAGUUGUCUUCAACACAUAAGCUAGAUGGAGUCACCUCAUCAAGAAUAGUGCCAUCUUCAUAUAGUGAAAGAAGAAGAUUGAGAAAUUAUAGUAUACCCUUAUGAAGGAUGGAUAUUUAUAUACAAAUAAUUUGAGUAUAUUUUUUUAUACUAAUUCAAACUCUAUCAUUUAUUCUAAUUUAAAACUGUUUGAGUUUAUCUUCUGCUUUAAUUCAAACUCUAUCUUCUACUAUAAUUUAAACUAAUAAUAGAUAAAUAUUAAUAUUUAAAUUAAGAAUAAACAUUAACUUUUUCUAACAUGCCCCCUAAAGGUGGAAUUUCGAUUGGAGAUUCCAAUCUUAGUCUUGAGAGAAAAAAAAAAAAAACCAACUACAAUGUAAUGGUUUUGGCAAAGCAUCCAUUAGUUAAUCUUUUAACGACACAUGAACAACACAAAGAGCACCAUUUUGAACCUAAUCGUAAAGGAAAUAGUGGUUUUGCAAGAAAGUGAAUCAAAGGGUCAAACAAUGAGCUAAAACAAUUGAAGGGUGAGAAAUUGAAUAUGAUGAAGGCUUGUUGAGUGUCCAUUGAAAAUGAUAAUGAAGCCAAAAACAUGAAAAUAAAGCAAUUUAACUUUUUGCUUAAAAACUUUUUGCUGAAAUUUUGAAUAAGAAAUGACAAAAACAUUAGUGGGAAAAGUAUUUACACGGUCCAUCAAAUUUAGAUCAAUUUACACGGUCCAUCAAAUACAAGUCAAAUUUAAGUCUUCAACCCAAUUGAUUUUUAAAGGUUAAUUAAAAUUCAUCUGGAUUUUAAGUCUAAAACAUAUUUAAAAUAUUUAGUCCAAAAUAUGAUCAACAUAUUUAAAUAAAUCAUUAAGUAAUUAUAAAUCAUAAAAAUGUAAGUUUUAAAAUAUCAUUUUAAUUCAAUUGUGUUGGUUAAUCAAACUUUUAAACAAAUCAACCAAAUCAGUUUCAAUAAUGCUAAAAUUACCCAACCUUUAUAAUUGUUGAAAAUCAAAUUAACCAAGUCAGUUUUCACAGCUCCUAAACUGAAUUGAGCUUCAUGAUUGUUGAAAAUCAAAUUGCUUUUAUGUUUUUUGUUAGCUUCAAUCGAUUUUUAUUAGUUUUUUAGUUUUCACUUAGACUCUCAUAAAAAUCCUUAAUAUUAACAUAGAAAUAAAUAAACAUAUUAGGAGUGGGCCUCAUUAGUAGGACUUAAAAGGCAAGUUUUAACAUUAUGAUGAAAUUUUAAGUGAAACUCAACCUUAGUAAUUACAUUCUUAGGGUCUGAGAGUCAAAAAAAAUUUGUUACAUAGUAAGCUGAAGAGGGAUUAAUGUAAAUCUAGAGCAAAUACAAAUAACAUUAGCAAUGUUCUUUCCCAUGAAAGUCAAGGGUCUUUAAUGCUUAAUUGAUCGAAUAACAACCUUGAGCAAAUUUAUAUCAAAGUGUUCAUAUAGUUGUUCUCCAUUCUACAAAGUUGCUUAGUAAGAAGUGGAGUCUGGAGUGGAUGUUUGGAUAUGAUGAAGCCUUUUAACAACUAAAGACAUCGUUAUAAUGUUGUUAAUUUAUUCCUUUCCUAUGGUUGAGGAGAAGCUCCCUUUAUACUUGGUGGCAUCUAGCACAACCAUCGUUCUUACUAGGAAAGAUAACUAGUUACAUUUGUCAAUUUAUCAUAUGAGCAAGGUUCUUAGUGAUGUAAAGACAAUGUACUCACCCUUGGAGAAAAUAAACAUUUGCUCAUGUAAGAGAACUACAUCCUUAUUUCCAAACUUAUACAAUGGCAAUCUUAAUGGAAUAUCCAUUCAGAAUAGUACUAUAGAAUCUUGACAUGUUAAGAAAAUGGAUAAGGUGGUUAAUUGAGCUUGGAGAAUUCGAGGUUCUCUAUAAGUAUAAAUGUGCAAUAAAAAGUUAGGUGUUGAUUAACUUUGCAUUGGAGAUAGGUGAAGACUGAAGUGGGUGGACUCUAAAUUGGUGAGUGAUUUUGGAACCUCCCGAAUAAUGGAUCCACUUUGCAUAAAAGAUUAGGCAUGGUGAUUGUUUUAAUGAGUCCCAAUAAGAUAAUUCUAGAAUGAACACUGAAAAUAGAGUUUGAUGAAGUAAGGUAUAAAUCAUUUAUCAUGGAAUGACAAAUGACACUCAAGUUGCAAGUAAAAAACAUUGAGAUUUAGAGUGAAUUUAAGAUUGUCAUUGAGUAGGUGUAAAACUAAUUUGAAGUCAAAGAUUCUAGGAUAUUGAAGUACCAAUGGAAGCCAAAGGAAAUCAUGUAGAAAUUUUUCAAGAUAGAAAUACAACAAUGCCCCAAGAAAAUAACCAAGAUGUCAAUUCACUAGCUUAGUUUGCUUUUGUCAUAACUUGAUGUAUACAUCAUCUUCCACUACCUUACAUUACUUGAUCGAGUUAUAAGCUUGAUAAUGAAACAAUGUUGGUAGAAGCAUAUGUAACAAGUGACUUCAAUGAGAGGAGUAUACUUAUAAUCUAUAUUUUAAAAGACGAUACUCUCCAUCUAAUAAGUUAGAGGCACAUAAACUAAAGAUAAAGUAUAUCUAAUAUGCUUUAAUAUAAGAUGCAUUCUAUCACCAUUACUUUUUAGGCUUAUAUCUCCGAUACUUGAGGGGGAAGCACAUUUUAUAUAGGUUUUCUUGAUGGUCUACAAUAUUGAAGUUAAUUUUGUUGAGGAGCGUGAUAUGUAUAUAUAAGCUCAAAUCCAGUUAGUGUAAACUUUUAGGAAAAUUAGUAAUUCAAUAUGGUAUCAAAACCUGAUUUGAUGGAAGGUCUUUCAAUCCCCUUCUUGUUUGUCUUUGUCUCUAUACUUAUUUUCAACUCCCUAAAGCAUUUUGUUUCUUACUACACCUUGUUUAAACCUUGCCUAAACUUAAUUUAAGGUUAUAUCAUCCUAAGGUACUGCUAAAUGAAAGGAUUUUAUCAACGUCCAUAAAUGAUAAAUCAUGGAUCGAACAGUUGAAUUAGAAAAAUUGGGUAUUAUCAUAUAACUUUAUAUCAACUAAGUUCAUGAAUUGGAAACAUUUACCAUAGGGUAAACCACCACUUCUUAGGCCCCCUGAUUCUACCAUAGAGUCUAACAAUAGACAAUAACUUUCUCUCGAACACAACUUACAACUUUUAUCAUAUUGUGUUUUUCAAAAUCUUAAAAGGUGUUGAGUUCAAAUCUUGUGAGUUCAAACUUUUAGGGAAAUUGGUAGUUGAACAAAUUUAUAUGGACUUGUAAAGCCAUUGAUAUGCACUUGGUAUUUCGAGAAUUGUCGUUUCUGUUGGAGAAAAGAUGACUUGGUCAUCGGGAAGAGUAUGGUUCAGUAAAAGGAGGUAACAUGUUGAAGAAGUUGGAGUUCUAAAUAUAAUAACUCAUCACUCAUCAUUAUCAUUGUUGUUUGGGAUCCUCAUCCUUAUAUAAAAAUUUCUAUUUUAAAAACAAAAAACAAAUUUGUGUUUGAUGUUCUAUUAAAUAAUUUUUUUUUAAAUGAUGGUUUCUCAUCCAUUUUUAGAUGUUUAAACAUUUUGGAUUUGAUAUUUAAUUAAAUAAAAGUGAAUCUACAAUGACACUUAAUUACCAUGUUAUAGAUAAUUCUUCCAAAAAAAAAUUCAUCACUCUUAAUUUAUUUAUAUUAGUUAUUUAAAGAAAAAUAUUAAAAGAAUUAUUUAAUUGUUUGAGGAAAUUCAAGAUUUUUUUCUAUAAAAUUUAUGGAAAUUCUUGGAAUUUUCCAAAGAAAAUUCUUGUUGUUUUUCUAAUUCUUUUUCUAAUUCCUUUAAAAUUUUUAAAUGUUUUUAUAAAAUUUUGAACCUUUUUUACUUAUGUUUUCAUGUCUUAAUUGAAUGAUUUGAUAAAGUGUAUAUUUUUCUUUUAUUUAAUAUUAUUGAAGGCAUAAAAUUAUUUAAUUUAGUGUCUAUUUGGAUGCAGUUCCAAUUUUCUAUUUUUUAAAACAAAAAAUAGUAGUAACUUUUAAUAUAAAAACUUUUGGAGGUUCAUAGUGAAAAUUUAGUAGUUUUUAAAAGCUGAAUAUAAAAUAUUGAGGUAUUAAAAUUUUUUUACUAUCUCAAAUUUUAAAAUUUUUGAAAGUAAUUUUCAAGAAUAAAUAAGGUAAGUCAACUUUUUUGCAAAAUUUUUAUUACUUCUUAUAUAAAAAUUUCUAUUUUAAAAACAAAAAACAAAAAGUAUAUCGAUAGGAGAAUUUAUUUGGCCCAUUAAUCCUAUAGAACACAACGAAAACGUUGUAUUUACAUGGAAGAGAAGGGGGUUGAUUAUGAUAUUUCACAUUGGAUGAAGGAGAAAGUUCUUGGAGUUAUAUAAGUAUAAUUUCCUUUUAACCAUAUAUAUGUGUUUUGAAGCCAUGAUGAUGUCUUUGGACCCAAAGCAAGCAAUAUCUAUACGGUUGGAUAUGAGUUAUUACACUAGCACAUAAAACAAUUAUUAAAAGGUUACUUUUGUAUGCAUAUGUAGCAAGAGACACUAGUUUGUUAAGAGUUGUGUCUCCUAUCAAAGAUGUACACUACUAUCAAUGUCGAAUAAUUAUAACUAGCCCUUGGCCUUUUGCCCGAUAGACAAUCAACAUAAUAUGGCCAUUGCCUCAAGCCCUAGGUCAAAAAUAUUUUUUCUUGGUAGCAACUAAUUAUUUUACAAAGUGGAUUAAGGCAAAGUUUUUUGUGUGAAUAUGAGAAUCAGAAGUGUGUCGAUCCUUUUAUUUGGUUUAUCUAUGAAAAAGUUGAGAAAAGAAAAUUAAAGUAGGAAUAUAUCUUGUCUUAACUUUUCUACCUUUUUUAAGCAAAAUCCAAUAGUCUUCUGUCGGCAUUUAUUCAUCAGCAACUUUCACCACCUUUUCCCAACAUUAUCUCCCUGAAAGAGUCCUACGAAAGCAGAUGAAAUACUCUCCACACCCUGGGAUAUAUCUUCAAGUACAUGAAUUUUGCCAGUGCUGAGGUGGUUCGACAUUGUUGAAAUGAAAUCAUCCAUCCCCUUCAAGUAAUCAAUCACCAAGAACCCUUGGAUCUUGAGUCUCUUGUACACAAUAUCAAUCAUAUCUGGUGCAGCUCGCUCUCCAAUCCCUGUAUAUUCCGAGAUUAUUCCACAAACAGCAAUUCUACCAAAGGGAUUCAUGUUAGCCACCGAUGCUUCCAACAUCUUGCCUCCCACGUUAUCAAAAUAUAUAUCCAUCCCAUCAGGGAAGUAUCUAUAGGAACAAAUUAACCAAUGAAUCACCUUCUAAAUGACCAUUCCUAUGAUGAAGUUUUUGAACACAUGGUUUCAUUUAUAAGGUUUUAACCAUUUUAUUUGAAAAUCAAUGAUAUCAUACACCGUAAGUCUAUCCUAAGAGAUGACAUUUAGUGAUCAGUAGUCUAGUUCAAGAGAGACCUAAUAUGACACUCUAGUUACUUGAACUCAUGACUCUUACUCUAGUACCAAUUUUUGGAUUGGAUUUUGACUAUCUCAUCUGAAAACCAAUUAAUAUUCAAUGAGAGUAAGUGAAUCUUUUAUGAAAUUUGAUAUCUUAUUUGAAAAUCAAUUGGCAUUCAGACAUUUUAUGACAUUUAAUAUUAGACUUUGCUAACCCAUUUUAAGAGAUAAUAUUUGGUGACCUAUCCACAUGGCUAAGAUUUGAAAUAUUGAUAAAUAUAGAUAUAUCAGUAUUUGUAUUUUAUGGAUAUAUUGGAACUAUCGAUGGAUAUUUUGACAAAAAAUCUAUAAGAAGAAAAUUAUUCAAAAUUCAUGAAAAUAUUUGGAAAAACUCCAAAAAAUAAUAAAAUAAGUAAGAAUGCAUAUAUUAAAGUUAUUUUAUAAAUGUAAUUGACAUAAGUAUGGUUAAGGAGAAAAAUAUAGGUAAGUAAAGAUAUAUCGGUCUUAAUAUAUAAUUUAUUAUUUAUUUUAUCAAAUUAAUUUGAAUUUAUAAAAUACUAGAACUUCGUUAUUAUUUUUUAUAUAUUUUAAUUUUUUUUAAUAAAUUUAUAUUUUUAAUAUUUUAAAAUAAAAACAUUCAAAAUUAGAAGGAUAAAUAUAAAAAAUUUAAAAGUAAAGUGAUAGUAAUUUUUUAAAAUAGGAUUAAUGAGAUAAAUAAUGAUAUAUUUAAUAUUAAAACUAUAAUUUAUUUAAUUUAAAUGUAUUCAAUAAUAUAAAAUAAAUAAUGAUGCAUAUGAUAUUUUAAUAUUUAUAUUUUUAUAUUUAAUUAUCAUAUAAAUGAUAUAAAAAGCCUUGUUAAGAAAAUUAUAAUAUUGGUUUUUAUACUUUUAUUAAUCAAUUAAAUAUAAUUUAAAAUAAAAUAAUUAGAAUUAAUUAUUCUUUUAUUUUUUAAUAAUGAAGUUUUAAUUACAUAUUUAGUGUGAACACUUAUUUACAAAAGUAAACUUGGUCUAGUGGUAAAAAUACCGAUAAAUCCCGAAAUAAUAUCAUACCUUCUAAACUUGUUUUAAUAACUAUCAUUUGGAUGACCCAUCCUCAAAUUUAAGAGCAUGAUUAUUACAACCUAACAAUGUUACUACAAUUACCUUUUGAGAGUAGACUUUAGAUCGGUUUCCUCCUUGUAGUUGAAUGCGUCAUCAAAACCAAGCUUCCCUUUUAGCAACUCAACCUAUAAUUCAAUUUUUUGACAAAAUCGUAUAAGAAUAUGGUUUGAUAUAUAGAGAAGGAGAAGUGGAAGAAGCUAGCCUUUUGUUUUGUUCCAGCACAGCCCACAACAUGACAGCCGAAGAGCUUGGCAUAUUGUCCCACCAAAUUUCCAACUGAUCCACAAGCAGCUGAUACAAACACUUUCUCCCCCUUCUUAGGUUUACAUACUUCGACGAAACCGGCAUACGCUGUUAGCCCACUAAGUCCUGCAAUCAACACUAGUUUUCAAUUCCACUAAGUUCGAAAAUUUAAAAACACUUGCCUAAGAAUGAUGUCAUGAUAAAUUUUUGCAAGAAUAAAAGAGCAAACUUACCGAGAACUCCAAGGUGGUAAGAGAGAGGAAAUCCCAUGGGAUCCAACUUCCUCAAGAUGUUACCUCCUUUGACGAUGGUAUACUCUUCCCAAUUGAUAAGCCCCACAACUAAAUCAUCCUUCUCAAACUCAGGGUUUCCAGAAGCCACAACUCUCCCAAGACCAUGAGCACUAAUGGCCUGUACAUUUUUAUUAGUUACUUCUUAGACUAUGCUGGCCAACUGAAGAACAUCAAGCAGGAACUCCACAAUUGUUGGGAUUUUUGGAGACUUCAAGAAAAUACAUAUCUUUUAUAUUUAUAAAUUUUAUGUAAAGCUCUACCCAUUUUUUCAAGAUGGAGGGUGUUUCAAUUUAGUUCCUAAAACCUUUUUAAACAAAAAUUAUUUUUGCAAAAAAAAAUAAAAAUUAAACAUUCGUUUGAUAACUAUUUUCGAAAACAAUAUUCUAUUUUUCAAAACAAAAAAUAAGGAAAAUAUAUUUAACAACCAAAAAUUGUUUUUGGUUUUCUAUUUUCUAUUUUUAAGAAUAAAAAUAGGAUAUUUAUAGAGAAUAUCUUUUCAUUUAAUUUGUUUUGUGAAAAGUGUUUUAAAAAGUAAUUAUACAAACACAUAAAAUGAUUAAAAAUAAAACACCAUUCAUAAAAUUUAUUUCCAAAAUAUAUUUUAAAAUAUUAAAAACAGUUAAGGUCUUUAAGAAGAAUUUUUUGUCUAUAAAAUAGUUUUUAAAGACUAUUUUUUAAAAUAAUUGUCAAACAAACCCUAAUGUAAAGAACACGUAUAUGAUCACAAGAAGUUUUAUACUAUAUAUUUGAAUAUAUUCAAUUUAUUUCAGUGUUUAACACAGAAUUUUUCAUCCAUUUUUUUUUUACGAAAAUUCUUAUUCCAAUGACUUAUUUGAUACUUAAGCAUAAUUGAGGAUUAAUAUUGUUUGAAAUAUUAUUUGAAAGUUAAAUUGAGACGCAAGUGAAAGUUCAUCAAAAAUUCAUUUUUGUAGUUUAUUUUUUAAAAAAAUUAAGAUGAUUUUACCUAUAAAGUGAUAUCCAAACUCUUCUACAUCAUAGAAAAAUAAAAGUUUGUCUUCUUUGCCUUUAUACUAAAAUAGUAUGAAAUGUUCAAAGAAUAAAAUCAUAGACUAUUUUUGUCUAACCUUGAUCUGAAAUAAUUAGUCAACCAUGUGAGACCAAAUCCCAAAGAAAAAUCUAAAAACAGAUUUACACCCUGACGAGCUCACCUGGCCAGGAGUUAUGCCAUCUGCAGUACUAACAAGUUUCUGCGAAGAGCAAACUCUCUUCAUUCGAUUGAUCUGGUACGGAUCGAUGGAAACAUAGAGAUUUUUCACUAUCACAUCUUUCGAACCCGGCUCCACAGAUAGAUUUAAAGCCGCAGUCUUGAGCUCAAAGUCGGAUUCCUGAGGUGAUGAUCCAUCGAUGUGGGUCUUCACUGUUACAUAUUUAUUGGUGACCUCCAUUGUUGUCUACCCUUUCUGGUUUGUUGACGGAAGCUCACUCGAUGAAAGAAGAGGAUAGGGCAGAAUGAUUGAGAUUUGAGACUGAUGAAGUGU
rnacentral:lncRNA from 1 species